rnacentral:lncRNA from 1 species
GAAAGUUCAAAUUAUAUUUGAUUGAUUUGUACAUCUUCUAAUAAAGUGCUUAGAUGGCUUACGUUCAAAUGCUAUUUGUUGCUACUUCGUAAAUAGUACUCUUUUUGGGAUAUGUAUUGCUUUUCUGAUAUUUAUUUCUUUGUUUUUAUUGCAAAAAAAGAUUAAGUAAAGAUGAAGAGGAGAAAUUCUACGCAUAAGUGUGGUUGUGCAAUGGAAUUAUACUUAAUUUUAGACAAUCAACGGAAGGGUGACUAAAAAAUCACUGUUAUAUUAGGUUCUUUGCUUUAGUUUAUGCCAUUCAAUUAACUUCUUUUCCAAAUUUGAAGAUACAUUUGUUUGUUUACUCCUUUCGUUGUUUCACCGUUGGCCUUUAGCUAAAGAAACAUACUUGGUUUCUCUCCUAUUGCCGAUCCCUGUGGUCCAAUUUAACAAUGUGGUUAUAUAAAGUCCUCUUGAUAUUUAGUCACAUUUCUUCCUUUAGCAUAUGAGAAAAUUACGUUCAAUGUUUUGGCAAUAAAAAUGGAUUUGCUUUUGAUUUGAUGUCUGGAUUCCAUGGGUGUAUUAUUUCAUCAGUAAUGUGUUUCAAUUAAAUCUGUCAUAUCAUCAUUAUACAUGCUUUACAUGAUUCAAUAUCCUCUAGUUUCUAUUGUGCUUCACAACCUAUGCUUUGCUUGCUAUCGUGUACAUCGAUAGGCACUACUUCCACUGAACUAUUUGAUAUUCUAGGAAAGGAUGAUUUGUGAAUUUCCGAACUAGGUCAUUCCAGUGAUGCAGCUUGGUGGAUAUGAGUCCCACAGUUCUGUGGGAUUCCAAUAAUUGCAAAAAAAAAAAAAAAAAAUGUGAUAGAAGAGACAAAAAGUGUAGCACUAGGUCGUGCGAACUUCUUGAACAUGUUGUGCAUUCGUUGUUCCACAGGAAAAAAAUGUUAUUGAGUAUAAAUAUUAAAAAUUCAAUGUGCUACAAAUUUCAUAUGAGACGUAAUUUUAUAAUAGUUACCCGACUAUUUAAAAGGAUCUGAUCGAUUUCUGUCCAUGGAAACUAUAAUGAAUUUAUGGAAAUGUGUCUGAUUCAAAAAUUUCUGAUGAGACAAUUUUAUGUGUGUUACGUUACUAUUUAAACACAAUUUUAUCAGUUUCCGUCAUUGACAGCAAAAAUUAUAAUGAACAUUCAUUUAUUGUCCACCCAUUGCAUAAGACUCAUGAUCUUAUAAAUUGACUUUUGUUCACCCACUAUUCAAAAAUGCAAACACAGUUUCAUGAGUGUACAUUAUUAUUUAAAAAGAGCUUGGUUUGUUUUCAUAACUGCACUGGUAAUUAUAAUAACGCACAAUGCAUGGGACUGACUUAACUUUUGUAGAGAUAGUCGUUCAAAAAUUCUAACGAGAUUCAUUUUUAUGAGCGUUACAUGUCUAAUUAUUAAACGAUUGGUCAGUUUUCGUUAAUAAUAGUGCAAUGAUAUGAGCAGGCAUUUAUUGUCCCCUAAACGUUUUGUCCCAAAUUUUAUAAAUUGAUUUUUGUUUAUAUGGUGGUCAAAAUUUUUGAAUUUGCACAUUUUUAUUAUUUUAUAAAUUUGAUUUUAUUUCCUUUUACAUUUCUCUGUUAUUAUUCAUGUUUGAUGUAUGAGAUUUUCACGUUGUAAUUGAUUUUGGAGUAAUGUUUGAAAUUACGGGAUUUAAUGUUUAUGUUUGAUUUUCUCUCCUUUUUCCUUUAAACCAUUUCACUCAAAUUCGUGCUCCAAUUGAAAAUAUGUACUACAAAUUUACGAGUGCAAAGGAUUACGCUUCGGUUAUGAUUGAUGGGCACUUUAUUUCCGUUGCACACUUGAAAGAAAAAAUACUUGAAUCAAAGCACUUGGGUAAGGGUAAUGAUUUUAACCUCAUUGUCACUAACGCCCACAAUAAUGAAGGUUGGUUUGAUUAUUAUAAUUUUUUUUAAGACUUUUAAAUCUGCAAAACAAAUUCUGGGCUUGUUAAUGGUUACGGUUCCUCUGAGUGUCAUUACCGUCCUCUAUUUUAUUGUAUUUCAAAUGAGAAUAGAAAAAGUAUUAACUACGUUAAGAUCAUUGAACUUUCUUCUAUGUAAUUUUGAAUGCCAAUAGUUUUUCUGACAACUCUUGUAUGCUAUUAUUGAAAGCCAACUAAUAAAGCUAGUCAUUUAACUUACGUUCUUCGAUUUGUGUCCUCUAUAUAUUGUGGUUGGGCACACUGUAAAGAUCAUAGGCUUUAUUGACGUUUAUGGUUUUCUCAUUAGUUCUCCUUUGUGAUUUUUUAUUCUUAGAGUAUAUUGCAUAGUCAACGAGAAAUGAAGAUUGUCAAUAAUCAAGUACAUAAUCGGAAGGGAGAUCAAUGGUUUGGAGGCAUAUAUUGAGAACGAUGCAUUUGAUAAUAUUUGUAAUGGUGUAAUUAUAUGAUGCUUUUAAAGUUUGAAAACACGUAGGCCACAAUUAUGGUAGUGUAUUGACUUAUUUUCAUUAAUGUUAUGUAUUUUUAAAAAAUUGCAUUAAAUUUUUUAUCCCACAAUAGAAAUGUCUAGCCAGCCAUAGCGUUCAUGUGCUGCGCAUUCUUAGUUCAAGAUGAAAAGUUAUUGAGAGAGUAUUUGCUUUAAAAUUCAAUGUUCUGGAAAAAUUUCGAAUGAGACACAAUUUUGGAGUGUUGCAUACAUGACUACUACUCGAAAAGUGUUUUGUCUUUUGUAUCUUCGAAUGUACAACUAUAAUGAGCAUGCAAUUAUUGUUUACUCAAUGCAUGGGAUCCACGUUCUUAUAAAUUAACUAUUGUUUAGUUGGGUAAUCAAAGAUAUCAAACUAACAUGUUUUGAUGAUCCAUAUUUUUAUUUAAAAGAAGGAAUAUGAUGUUUGUUCAGACUUAAAGACAUGGAAGAAAAAAAAGACUAAUUUGGCAGCAGAUGAUCGAGUGUUUGUUAUUUUUAUUUUUCAAACAGUCCAAACAUAUCAUGUGUUGACAUGUGUGCACCUUAUUUUUUAGCCUAUUUGUGUAGCAUAAUUCUAAAAAGAAUCUUGUUGGUUUUAAGGGCUGUGCUACUUGGACAAUCCCCUGUCCAAAUAGGGGGCAAUGUGGCAAAAAUAUUUGUUUAUAUGGUGGUCAAAAAUUUUGAAUUUACCCAUUUUUACUGUUUUAUAAAUUUGAUUUUAUCUCCUUUUACAUUUUUAUGUUAUUAUUCAUGUUUGCUGUACGAGAUUUUGAUGUUGUAAUUGAUUUUGGAGUAAUGUUUGAAAUUAUUGGAUUUAAUGUUUAUGUUUGACACACUCCUUUUUCCUUUAAACUAUUUCACUCAAAUUUGUGCUCCAAAUGGAAAUAUGUACUAUAAAUUUAAGUGUGGUUUUUCCUCUUGGACAAUCCCCCGUACAAAUAGGGGGCGACGUGGCGUCUCCUAUUGGCCAGGGUGUCUAUGAACACCCAUCUAUUGUACACAAAAGUACGGGACCCACAUAACUUUAGUUUGGACACAUAAUCAAAUUUCAAAUGAGAUGUGUUUUUAUGAGUGUUACAUGUCUACUUAAAAAAGAUUGAUCAGUUUCUAUCAUUAAUGGUACACAUACAAUGAAAACGCACUUUUACCCACUAAAUGCAUAGGAUCCACAUUUUAUUUGUUGAUUUUUCUUCAUAUGGUGUUCAAAAAUUCAGAAUUUAAACAUUUUUAUAAUUGUUACGUGACACUAUUUAGAAGGGUUUGGUUGGGUUUUCCUCAUAGAUGGUGCAACUAUAAAGGUCUUGAUCUUGCCUUUGACCCGCCACCGGGGCCGGCCCUGAGAAUUUAGAGGCCCUAGGCGUUUAAUUACUAUGGGGCCCCUCGACACAAAAUUUAUUUUACGAGUCCACUUUUAUAUUAGUAAACAGAAUGGAAAAAGAAAUGUUUCUUACACUUAAAAAACUAAAAAUAUUUCAAAAAAUAUGAAACAUAAUUAGAGCACAUUUAUCCAAAUUAAAUUCGAAGAAAAAAAGAAGAUGUAAGAUGAUAAGAAAAUGAACUAAAUAAUUUAUAAGAUGUACUUUCACUUUAAUAAUAAUAACUUCAUGUAAAUUAAAGCUUAAAUCUCCGGUCUAUACAUUUUUCACCUUUAGACUCGAUGCUAAAUAACUCAAUAAUCUUUUUUGCAGCUUCAUUACUUUUACUUAAUAUGGUGUCAUAAGUGCUUAAAGAUCAGGAUUAUAUCCAUACAUAGACACAUAUCUAUAGAGAGAAGGAAGAUUGCCAAGAAUCAAAAUCAAAAUGCUUAUACAUAAGCUUUUCAAAUCCUUGUCCCAACUCCCAAUCACUUGUAAAUGCUUUCUGUAUGAAUCAGUCACAGUGCCAAUUUUUUUUCUUUUUUUUAAGAGAUGAGGCCCCCUAUAAUAUGAGGCCCAAGGCAGUGGCCUCACCUACCUUGGGCCAAGGCCGGCACUGCCCGCCACAACUCAAACACCACUUGAUUAAAAUGACAAUUAUCCCCUUUAUAUUAAUACUCGUCAUACCCCCCCCCCCCCCCCCAAANNNNNNNNNNNNNNNNNNNNNNNNNNNNNNNNNNNNNNNNNNNNNNNNNNNNNNNNNNNNNNNNNNNNNNNNNNNNNNNNNNNNNNNNNNNNNNNNNNNNNNNNNNNNNNNNNCCUUUUUAAAUAAACCCCCCCUACCCCCCCCCCCCCCAACAAAACUCUUUGUAUUCAUUGUCUUUAUAUCUACAAAUUUCUAUCAUAAAUUCAAACUAUUUUUCCAAGGCUCAAGUACUUUCAAUCUUACUAUCUAAACUAAAAUAUUUCAAUUUCUAAAAUCGAGAAAAUACAUAUAAAGUCCUAGAAAAUCUGUGGACAGUUGUAUAUACAAAGUUGUCGACAUCAAAUGUGAUGAUGGUGUCUACAUCACGACCCAAUCACGAUCUUCCUAGUACCCUAUUACAUUAUUUUACCAAUCUCCAAUCUCAUCUUAGGCUUUCAAGUCUAUGAGCAUGGAGGAAAUUCUCAAGAAUAUUUACUAUGAUUCAGAGUGUUUUGCUCUGGAUAUAAUGGGGUUGCUAGUCUUUGAGUUGGUGCUAGAGGUAAAUUGAAGAUGAUGAGUAAUUGGAAGGACUACAAGAAAAUCAAAAACAAAAUCAAUCAACCUAAGUAUGGAGAUAACGUGCUCCAAUUUUGCAACUUUAGCAAGAGGGAAGUACUUAUUAGAGACUUUCUAGACUAGAUCAUUCCAGUGGUGCAGUUUUGAGGAUGAGUCCAGCCACUCUCUUUGAUUCUAAUCUGAUUUUCUUUAAAUUGCAAAAAAGUUAGAAAAGAGACAAAGUGAGAAGACAAGCCUGGGGUCAUUACAUCGUGCAUGUGUUUUGCAUUCGUUGUUCAAGAGGAAAAAAAGUUAUUGAAAGAAACGGCUCUUGUUUUCUCUAUUAGGGGUUAGAUCCCACUAUGAUCUCAUUUUCGAUUAUUAAAAAUUAUAGCUAGAUAAACUCCCGAACUGAACCGAGAAGUUCGACUCGAUUCUUCUUAGGUUAAAUACCUGAAUUAGUACUAAAAUCAAGAACCAACUUGUUUAUUUUAGUUCUUAGUUCUAGACUAAUAACCGAAAGUCCCUAAUUGUUGCUAUCUUUUUUUUUAUUUAUUUAAACAAGCUAAAUUAUUUUAUUUUUUCGAAUAAAAUUUAUCAACUAAGUGAUUAACUUAAAGUGCGCAAGGCUCCAACUCUCAAGUGCUAACCGAACUUAAGCCCAAAAUAUUUUUUUCUACAAAUUUCAAUCGUAGGUCAAAUUCACUUUCACCAUUCACAUAACACUCAAUCAUUUUGUCAUUUAAAUUUAGCCAUUGCCCUUAUUUUCAGCCGCUCUCCAAUCACAAGCCUCAACUUCAUCUUUGCUUCUCAAGAUUCACACGAGACCAUAUCAUCAAAUCCUAUAUUUUCCCACAUUAAAUCUUUUUAGUUGGACAACUUUUUGUAUAUUUAUGUUUUUUAAUUGUGCUUUUUCAAUUAUUUCUUGUAGAGUUUCUUGGCGUGACAAGUCAAGCAUUGGAUGAUUGAUUUAAAUGGUUAAUUAUCACUGGUAAUAAUUAAAAUAUUUUAUUUCUAUAACUCUUAAUUUAUAUUUCAGUUUCUAUAUGAUUUGAAGAAAAUGAAUCAAUGAAAUGGAAUUAUCGAUAUUUUAGCGUUACUUUUUGGUAACUUGUAUGCAUUGGUGAAUGGAUCUUAGUAGACAACUUGUUAUUUAUAUAUUUUAAAAUUGGACUAUGUUAUUUUGUAAAAGUUUAGAUUGAACAUAUCAUUUGUUGGAUUAAUGCAAUGUUAUUGUAAAUAUUAAAAAAAUUUAAUUAUUUUACAAAACCGUAUGGGACCAACCCGGUUCGGUUCCUUCAUUACAUUUGGGCUCAUCGGCUCUACUUACUAAAUACCUAAAAGUUCUAGUCCAGGCCUAUUAAAAAUGAUACGAAGUACUCUUGAUACUUUGUCACAUUUCUUUCCUUUCCCAUAUGAGAAAAUUACAUCCAAUGUGCCGAUGAUUAAGAAAGUAGAUGUCCUUUCGAAUUGAAAUCUGAAUUUCUAUUUCUUUGGUAAUCUUUGUUUCCAACAAAUCUCAUAUCGUCAUUAUACAUGAUACAGCAUUCCUUUGUUACUAAGAUGUGCUUUAUCAUAUCUAUAUGUUUUACCUAGUGUAAUAUACAAUGACUUGCACUACUUACACAUAUAUUGGACAAUUAGGGAAAGGACGAUAAAAAAAAUUAUUGUUAGAUUUUGUUCUUUGCUUUAGUUUAUGCCAUUCAAGUAGCUUACUUUACAAAGUUUAUGGAUACAUCGUGUUAGGUUUUAACUUGUAUUGAUUAUUCGUUAGACAAAAGGAUUUUUAUAAAAGAGGGGUAAAAUUAAUUGGUUAGUUGUUUAUUUGGAUAGGGAGUCUUGGAGAUCAGUUAUUGAACAAGGAAAAUCGAUAUUGUACUUUGGUCGGCAUGCUGCUUAAGCCUUUCUCAAGUGGCUGCAUUACAAAGUCAAUCGAAAGUUUGUCGCUCGACUAUAGCUCACGGUUUGGUUGACUGUUGCUCACCUUUCGCUCGAGCGACAGAUCAUAGCUUGCUAACCGUUUGCUUUUUGCUCAAGCAAUUGGAUUAUCUGGGAAAAACCUAGUUCGUGUGUUUAAUCUGUUCUCUAAUUCUAAACAACCCCAAACUCUCCAAACUAUAAAUAACAAACCUCUAUUUCAUCCAGAGGUUGGUUGAUCAUUGUUUUCUACCUUCAUAACUCCUUUGGAGAUCAAAUAAUAAUUCUACAUCUUGAGAUCAAUCAACCACAAAUUGGGUCCAAAACAACCACUUCCUAAAUAUAAUCAGGAUGGUACUUUCUCAAUAGUUUUAUGAGGUUUAUGAAGAUUGAGGGUGGUUGGAUCAAAAUCAUAUGAAGAGUAUGAGAACAAGGUAGUUUUGGUGAUCCACAAGAGAGCAAAAGACAAUUCUAUAAGAUCGGGAGUUGGUGUGAGUAAAGCAUGUUUUAGUUGGUUUUGGAGAUUGCAGGAAUUAGAUCAGUUAGUCUAGUGUGUUUUUUAGACUAAAUAAUACUGUAAGUUCUUAUUGGCUAUAACGGAAGUCACUGGCUUGAUCCCGAAAUUUUUAAUUCCAUGAAGAAUUUUUUCCAUCAACAAAUCUUGUGUCAUUUACUGCUUUAUUACUAUUGUACCAAUUCAAAAUAGGAUAAAAUCGACUUGAUUGACUAAACAUUUAGAAAAAUUAAAAGGUAAAUUAUUGCUUUUAAUUGAUAAUUUUAAUUCCACAUUAUUUACCUAUUCACCCCACUUUAGGUGAUUUUAGAGUCGAACUGGUAACUUUCAAUAGGUAUGAGAGCCUCAAUUCGAUUCUUGACACUAACUUAAUCCAGAUGAGCCAGUCUAUUUUCGUGCUUCCAUAUUUUGGCAAAAGCAAUUACACCUAUUGGAAGGUUAGAAUGAGUUGAUUUCUAAAGUCUUUGGUUGGAUCAUCCCUUCUACUACUGAUGCAGGUGUAGUCACCCCUACAGAGGUUGCCACUUGGUCUAAAAUUGAGUUAGAUAAGUGUAACUAGAAUAAUAAAGAGCCUCAUCCCCUAUUCAUGGAUAUGUCCGUCGAAGAGUUUAGGAGAGUAUCAAUAUGUGAAACCGCAAAAGAGGUUUGGGAUAUCGUAGAGACCACAAAUGAGGGAACUAAAAUUGUUAAGAAUUUCAAACUACAAAUGCUGACCACUAGGUUUGAAGAAAUUAGAUUGAAGGAUGGUGAAUCAUUCGAUGAUUUCUAUGCAUACUUGAAUGACAUAGUAAAUUCUAGCUUCAAUCCAGGUGAGAAAGUUUAGGAAACGAAAAUUAUGAGAAAAGUACUUAGAUCCUUACUCGAGAGAAUUAGGCCUAAAAUCACGGCUAUCGAGUAGAGCAAGGAUUUAGAUACAGUUAAGAUUGAAGAAUUAGUUUGAUCUAAACAAACUUAUGAAUUCAUCGUAUUUCAACCUAAGAAGAACAAGUCUAUAGCCUUGAACAUUGUUAGAGAAGAAAAGUAUGACUCUACUUACACAAAGACAAUUAAUGAUGAGGAGAUAGUUUAUUUCGUUAAAAAAAAUUUGAAAAAUGUUUCAAAAUAAGAAAAUGCCUCAAGAGAGACAUAGAGGUGCUCUAGUGAGAGACAUAUGGCCUUUUCUCUCCUAUAAAAAAUUAUCUUUCUUUUCUCUAUUGUGGCUCUACUGUUUUUACUCACAAUUAGCCACCUCACUAUCUUAUCUCCUACUCUCAUUUUGCUUCUUCUUGCUUUUCUUUUCUUCCUCACCUCUCAAUUUCAAUUAAUCCUUGUAGACCUAUUGUGGUGUUAAAGGUACAAAAGUAACGGCUCUCCCAUCUUUUACAAAUUUGUACAUAUUUUUGAAUCCAUCAUGUUUCACCUUUCUAUCAUACUUCCAUGGCCUACCAACAAAAUAUGCCUAGCGUGUAUAGAAACUAUAUCACACAUCACAUCAUCUCUAUACCUCCCAAUCAAUAAAUUCACCAAAACUUGCCUACUUACCCUAACCUCUCCUUAUUCAUCUAGUUUUCAAAGAAUGUUAUGAAGGUAGAAUAUAAUGAUCAACCAUCCAUUUCACGAAGUGGGGCAUGGGUAUAUAUAGUAAAGAGGUUUCGGGAAGUAUAGGCUAGAUAAACUCUUGAAAAACACAAGUUAGGGUUUCUCAGGAAACACAAUCACUCGAGUGAGAACCCAACAAUAGAUGCUCCGCUCGAGCGAUAAGCAGGCAGAAGGCUAGUGACAAUGUUAUUGUUUUGGACGCUCGAACAACAAUCUGGCAGCGGGCUUGCAUAAUUUCAGUAACUUUUUUCUUCGUUCCAUAGACGACCUGAAGAAUUCCUAACUCAUCUAUGCAAUCUACCAACAGAUUCCUUGACUUUUACAACUCUUUUAAUAAUAAUCCUUUUGUCUUAAAAAUAGCUAAUACAAUUAAAACCUAACAUAAAGUAUUCUUGAUAUUUAGUCACAUUUCUACCUUCCCCAUCCGAGAAAAUUACAUUAAAUGUUUUGGCGAUAAAAAUGGAUUUGCUUUUGAUUUGAUGUCUGGAUUCCACGGGUGUAUUAUUUCAUCAGUAAGGUGUUUCCAUUAAAUCUCUCAUAUCAUCAUUAUACAUGAUCUACAUGAUACAAUAUCCACUAGUUUCUAUUGUGUUUCACAAUCUAUGCUUUACUUGUUAUCACGUAUAUUGAUAGGCACUACUUAUUAUUUGGCAUUCUAGGAAAGGAUGAUUUGUGAAUUUUUGGACUUGAUCAUUCCAAUGAUGCAGCUUGGUGGAUAUGAGUCUCGCAAUUCUGUGGGAUUCCAAUAAUUGCAAAAAAAAAAAAAAAAAUGUGAGAGAAGAGACAAAAAGAGUAGCACUUCCAUGGGUCGUGCGAACUUCAUGCACACGUUGUGCGUUUGUUGUUCCAUGGGAAAAAAGUUAUUAAGUACUAAAAAUUCAAUGUGUUAUAAAUUUUGUACGAGACAAAAUUUUAUAAUAGUUACACGACUAUUUAAAAGGAUUUGAUCGGUUUCUGUCCAUGAAAACUAUAAUGAAUUUAUAGAAAUGAGUCUCGUUCAAAAAUUUCUGAUGAGACAUAUUUAUAGGGAGUGUUACGUGCUAUUUAAACACAAAUUGGCCGGUUUCCAUCAUUGAUAGUGAAAAUUAUAAUGAACAUACAUUUAUUGUCCACCCAAUGCAUAUGACCCAUGAUCUUAUAAAUUGACUUUUGUUCGGCCCAGUAUUCAAAAAUGUCAAAUAAAACACGUUUUGAUGAGUUUACAUUAUUUUUUAAAAAGAACUUGGUUUGUUUUCUUAAUUGCACUGGUAAUUAUAAUGAACGCACAUUUAUUUUAUGCCCAAUGCAUGGGAUUGAAAUAACUUCUAUUGAGAUAGUCGUCCAAAAUUUCUAAUGAGAUACAUUUUUAUGAGUGUUACAUGUCAAGUUAAUAACCGAUUGGUCGGAUUUCAUUAAUGAUAGUGCAAUGAUAUGAGCAUGCAUUUAUUGUCCACUAAAAGGUAGAUUUUAUAAAUUGAUUUUUUUUUCAUACGGUGGUCAACAAUUUUGAAUUUGGACAUCUUUAAAAUUUUAUAAGUUUGAUUUUCUCUUCUUUUACUUUCUACGUUAUUAUAUAUGAUUGAGGCAUGAGAUUUUGACGUUGCAAUUGGUUUUGGAGGAAUGUUUGAAAUUACUGGUUUUAAUGUUUAUGUUAGAUUUUCUCUCUUUUUUUCCUCUAAACCUUUUUAGCCAAAUUUGUGCCCGAAUUGGAAAUAUUUACUAUAAAUUUAAAAGUCCAAAGGAUUACGAUUCAGUUAUGAUUGAUGGUCACUAUUUCCGUUGGACACUUGAAAGAAAAAUAUUUGAAUCAGAGCAUCUGGGCAAGGGUACUGAUUUUGACCUCCUUAUCACUAACACCCAGACCAGUGAAGGAUGGUUUGAUUCUAUAAGAAUUAUUUUUAGACUUUUAAAUCCUUAAAACACUUUCUGGGAGUGAUGAUAGGCACGGUUCCUCUGAUUGUCAUUCCCGCCCUCAGUUUUAUUGUAUUUUAAAUUAUAAUAGUAAAACCAUGAGCCAUUUAGGUUAUGAUCAUUGAACUUUCUUCUAUGCAGUUUUGAAUGCAAACGGUUUCUAUACCACCUCUUGUAUGCUAUUACUGAAGGCCAACUAAUUGGUGAUUAUAUAUUGUGAAUAAAUCUAGUCAUUUAACUUACUGGACUUUAUUGAUGUUUAUUCUUUUGCAUUACUUCUCCUAUCAGAUUUUUUAUUCAUAGACUAUAUCACAUAGUUAAAAAGAAAUGAAGAUUGUCAAGAAUCGAUUGCAUAAUCAAAUGGGAGACAAAUGGUGUGGUGGCAUUUAUUAAGAACAAUGUAUUUGACAAUAUUUAUAAUGAUAUAAUUAUAUGGCAUUUUUAAAGUAUGAAAAUGCAUAGGUCACAAUUGUAGUAGUCUAUCAACUUAUUUUCGUUAAUAUCACAUUUUUUUUUAAAAAAAAGUUUCAUCUAACACAAUAGAAAAUGUCUGGCUCUUCCAUCGUGUGCCUGUGCAUUCCUAGUUCAAGAUAAUUAAAAAAUAUAUAUAUUGUUAUUGAGGGAGUGUCUGCAUUAAAUAAUCAAUGUCCUGCAAAAAAUUCAAAUAAGACACUAUUUUUGGAGUGUUACAUGACUACUCGAAUAGUGUUUUCUUUUGUAUCUUCGAAUGUACAACUAUAAUGAACAUGCAUUUUUUGUUUAUCCAGUGCAUGGGAUCCACAUUCUUUUAAAUUAACUUUUGUUUAGUCGGUAUUCAAAAAUAUCAACUAAAACAUGUUUUGAUGAUCUACAUUAUUAUUUAAAAAUAAUUUGGUUAGUUUUCAUCAUUGACAGUGCAAUAAUAAUGAGCACCCAUCUGUUGUACACCAGAGUACGGGACCACGUAACUUUUGUUUGGCAUCUUAGAAUGGGGUAUCCCUCUAAUCAAAGAAUGAAUUUACUACAUAGCAUAGACCCUAGUAUUCCUAGUUUUGAUGCAAAAAAAAAAAAAAUUGUGAUGCUUGCCAUAUGGGAAAACAGACCAGAUUACCGUUUUCCUCUAGGCGCCAUUUUGUAGAAGUUGUUUUUUAUUUAAUAUACCUUGAUAUUUCGGGCCCUUUUUCUUUUGCAUCAUUGAAUGGAGCACAAUAUUUUCUCACAAUAGUUGAUGAUCACAGCCGACAACAUGGGUUUAUAUUAUAACAAACAAAAGUCAAACCAGAAACAUCAUUGGAAGUUUCUUUAACCUCAUUGAAAAUUAGUUCAAAUGUAAAAUCAAGGCUAUAAGAUCUGAGCAGGGAAUGGAGUUUAACAUGACAUAAUUUUUUUUUUCAAAAAAGGGAUUGCUCCACUAACAAAGUUGAGUGUACACACCACAACAAAACUCAGCAGUCGAAAGAAAACACUUGCACUUCUUGAAUGUAGCAAGUGCUUUGCGUUUUCAAGCUAGCCUACCUUUAAAAUUUUGGGGAGAGUACAUCCUAACUACUGCUUAUCUCAUAAAUAGGACACCCUCACCAAAUUUGAAAAGUUAAAGUCCUUACUAGCUAUUUUUUGGUAAAACACCUGACUAUUUUCAUUUAAGAACAUUAGGAUGUUUGUGCUAUGCAUCAAAUCUUGAUCCCCACAAAAAUAAAUUUGAUCAUAGAGCCCAAAAAUGUGUGUUCAUUGGAUAUCCAAAUGGAAUGAAAGGUUAUAAAGUUUUUGACUUGAAAACAAGAGAAACCAUAACUAGUCGAGAUGUGAUCUUUUAUAAAGACAGAUUUUCUUUUCAGCAAAACCACAACUUGUCUUCUCUGUUGCCUACACCAGAAAUCACUACUUUAGAUGAUGUCCCAGUUAUACCAAAUCCCAUCUCAGAGAGUUUUGAUCAAACGAGUGACAAUUCCCAUUUUUUGCAAGAAACAACACUUGAAAUUGAUAACCAUAAUCAUGAGGAAUCUCCUACUUCAAAAGUUAUCGAAUUGUUUCCUCUCCCAUCCUUUGAACCAUCUUCUAUCCAAGAACCCCGUAGAUCCACUAGAAUCAGAAACAGGCCCAGAUACCUUAAAGAUUUUCAUUGCAGGUUGGUAACUUCGGGUACUCUUCCUUAUGAUAUAAUAGCUCCUAGAGGUAACAAAUAUUCUCUUGCUUCAAUUCUUAAUUAUUCUAAACUCUCACCUAUGCACUUGAAAUACACUCUAUCCAUCACCCUUGAGUCAGAUCCUCACACCUUUGAAGAAGCUAAGAAAUUCUGACAUUGGAGUGCUAUGAAUGCUGAAAUUCAAGCUCUUGAAGCAAAUGAAACAUGGAAACCGACCAACUUACCUCCAGGGAAGAAAUCAAUCGGUUAAAAAUGGGUCUAUAAGACCAAAUAUAAGGGAGAUGGUAGUAUUUAAUGACACAAGGCUAGAUUGGUAGCGAAGGGCUACACUCAACCAGAAGCAGAAGAUUAUUUUGAAACCUUCUUCCCUAUUGCCAAGAUGCCAAUAGUGAGAUGCCAUCUGUCUAUUGCUACAUGUAAAAACUGGUCUCUCCAUCAUCUUGAUGUUAAUAAUGCUUUCUUUUAUGGAGAUUUGGUUGAGGAAGUAUAUAUGAGUGUGCCCCCAGGAUAUGGAAGAGAGUGGGAGCAACGAGUAUGUAGGCUUAAGAGGUCUCUUUAUGGCUUAAAGCAAGCCUCUUGUCAAUGGAAUAAAAAACUCACAUCAGUUAUCAUCAAGAUUGGUUUUAUCCAAUCUAAAGCAUAUUAUUCACUCUUUAUCAAGAAAACUGAUUAAUCUUUUACCGUAAUGCUUGUAUUCGUUGAUGAUAUGGUGAUUGCAGGAGACAAUGAAGAAGAAAUAUAGAAACUGAAGUAAUAUUUGACUGACCAUUUUAAGCUAAAGGUCCUUGGAAAUUUGAAAUAUUUCCUAGGCAUAGAAGCUGCCCGUUCCAAGGAAAGGAUUUUCAUUUGCCAAAGGAAAUAUGCCCUGGAAAUUCUACAAGACUCUAGACUUCUUGGUGCUUAAUCUGUCUAAUUUCCCAUGGAACAAAAUUUGAAACUAAAUGGUGAACAAGAAUAAGCCAUGGCUGAUCCUAGACAGUAUAGAAGACUAAUAGGAAGGCUGCUUUAUCUAACAAUAACUAAGCCUCAUAUAUCAUACUCGAUACAAGUCCUAAGUCAAUGUCUUAAGCAGUUGAAAGAUGUACAUUGGAAGGCAACAUUAAGGGUAGUAAGAUAUGUUGCAGAAGCUUUCUUGAAAGAUCUUCAAAUUCGUGAUUUCCGGGCUUAGUCCAACGCACUUUUGUCAACUAACAACUAAUCCAAUCGGCUCCAAACCACAACCAAUUGAUUCACCAUGGUUUCUAUGCAAUCUUACCCACAUAGGAUAAUAAAGGAUGAUGAUUUAUGGCGACAAAGGCUAAGGAAAGACACCACAAAGGUAUACUAUGAAAGAACCACCAACUGCACAUGUUAUACAAGCACUCUAGAUAUCCUUUUUCUCACAUGAAAGGGGACAGCAGCGAUUCUCUUUUUCUUCUCUCAAAAUCACACAAAACAUCAUUAGAAAGUGGCUAGGGUUAUAGCCAAUUGUGCAUGUGGCUCAUAUAGAGUGAAACACAGGUCCUGGAUCAAAUGGGCUGAUGACGAUGCACAGCGGAGUGGAGUGAGAGGAGCGAUAGCAUCGGUCUUGCAUGAGUUUAAUUCACUAUCUAGUUGUUAGGGACGUUGAAUGGGUUGGGGGUGUGGGGCAACGUCACCGCGGUACGGUACAGGGGUAUUUUUUGUACGGGCCUUAAAGUCUUAUAUGGGCCCAAGCUAGGGUUAGUAUAAAUAAUAUGUUGUAACCCUAUUUUUCACCACUGUAUAAAGAAAUCUCCAUUUUGCUCUCGUGGACGUAGGCACACUGCCAAACCAAGUAAAAUUCUUGUGUUGAUUUUCGUUUUCAUCUCUUUAAUAUUGCGCAUAAAAUCCAACAACUGGUAUCAGAGCCAGGUUCAGAUGGCGAGUUCUUCAAUUGCAAAAUUUGACGUGAUGAAGUUUGAUGGAUCUGGGAACUUCGGAUUAUGGCAGCGAAGGGUGAAGGAUUUGUUGACACAGCAAGGGGUGGUGAAAGCACUAUUUGGAAAGAAACCAGAGGGUACGUCAGAUGUUGAUUGGGAAGAGCUCGAGGCACGAGCAGUUGGUACAAUUCGACUUUGUUUGGAGGACAAAAUCAUGUAUCACGUCAUGGACGUUGAGUCUUCGACGGCGGUUUGGGAAAAAUUGGAGAGUCGUUAUAUGUCAAAGUCUCUCACGAACAAGCUGCAUCUGAAGCAGCAGCUGUACGGGCUGAAGAUGUUAGAGGGUACGGAUUUGAUUCAACACACCAAUGUGUUCAAUCAAAUCAUCAGCGAUCUAUUAUGACUUGAAAUCAAGUUUGAUGAUAAGACAAGGCAAUGAUUUUAUUGUGCUCACUUCCUCUUUCAUACGACCAUUUGGUGACCACGUUGACAUGGGGGUAAAGAGACUCUUGAAUUGGAGGAAGUUACAUCAGCUCAAUUAGCCUACAACCAGUGAAAAAUGUAUAUUGGUGAAACUUCAUAGGGUAAGGGGUUGAUCAUAAAGGGCUACUAGACUCGUGGGAGAAUGAAGGAUAGGGGUGUUUCUUUUAGAGGGAACACAAGAUCAAAAUCUAGAAAUCAAAAUAAGAAAAAUGUCAAGUGCUACAAAUGCCAUCAGAUGGGCCACUUUAAGAGAGACUAUCCCAAUAAGAAGCAGAGUGAUGAAAGGAAAUGUGAUGGGUCCUCAAACUCAGGUAGUGUUGCAGAAGGAGACUCGGAUUCUAGAGAUGGAGACAUGUUAUCAGUCUCUGUAGGUAAUUCUGUAAAAUUAAAUGACUGCUGGGUACUUGAUUUAGCCUAUUCAUAUCACAUGUGUCCUCACCAAGAUUGGUUUCAUUCAUAUCGUUCUGGUAAUUUUGGAUCUGUUCUGAUGGGUAAUGAUGCAUCUUGUAAGGUCAUUGGAAUGGGGUCCAUACAGUUUAAAAUGUUCGAUGGUGUGCUAAGGACCUUGGAAAAUGUUAGGCAUGUACCUGAGUUGAAAAAGAAUCUAAUUUCUUUCGGCACUUUAGACACAAAUGGUUACUCUUAUAAGUCAUAGUGUGGGGCUUUAACAGUGAAGAAAGGGGCUAUGAUUGUAAUGAAGGGUCAGAAAUUAGUAGGAAAUAUUUACAAACUACUCGGGGAUACAGUUGUAGGCGGAGUUGCUACAACAGAAUCUGAGUCAGAUGACACUCUUCUAUAGUAUAUACGACUGGAGCAUAUAGGAGAACGUAGCAUGGUUGAGCUUCACAAGAGGAAUUUGUUGAAGGGGGUAAAAUCAUGCAAGCUAAAUUUUUGCAAGUUCAGUGUACUUGGAAAACAGUCCAGAGUAUAGUUCAAGAUGGGAAAGCACAAGACAGAGGGCAUUCUUGAUUGCGUGCACUCAGAUGUUUGGGGACCAGUGAGGGAGUUGUCCAAAGGUGGAUCUCAGUAUUUUAUUACUUUCAUUGAUGACUUUUCUAGGAAGGUUUAGGUAUAUUUCAUGAAGCACAAGUCUGAAACUUUUGCCAAGUUCAAAUUAUGGAAAGCAGAAAUAGAAAACCAGAUGGGCAGAAAAAUUAAGUAUCUGAGGACAGAUAACGGUACAGAGUAUACAGAUUCACAGUUUUUGAAAUUUUGUGAGCAUGGUAUUCAGCAGUACUAUACAGUUCACAAGACACUGCAACAGAAUGGUGUAUCGAAAAGGAUAAACAGAACAAUUGCAGAACGGGCAAGAUGUUUGAGACUGAAUACAGGGCUCUCAAAGAGUUUUUGGGCAGAAGUAGUGAACAUGGCAUGUUAUAUCAUAAACAGAUCACCACGAGUAGCACUAGAUGGGAAAGUUGCAGAGGAAGUUUGGACAAGUAAUGAAGUUGGUUAUUCUGAAUUGAAAGUUUUUGGUUGUCUGGCUUAUGUGCAUGUAUCUAGUGAUCAGCAAUCCAAACUUGAUCCGAAAUCAAGAAAAUGCAUUUUUCUAGGCUAUGUAAAAGGUGUAAAGGGAUACAACUUUUGGGAUCCAGAGGCAAGGAAAAUGGUGAUAAGUAGGGAUAUAGUAUUUGAUGAAGCAUUCAUGCUUAAAGUUUCUACAGAUAAAGAGAAGCUCAAUUCAGACGAGGGCAGAGGUAAGACCCAAGUGGUGCAAGUAGAGCUAGAAAAUGUUAACACAGAAAUUAAUGGUCAGGGAGCAGAUAGUUUUGGGUCAUAGGUGGAGCAGUAUCAUAGUGUUGCCUUAGAUAGACCACGUCGCACUAUUAAGCCAUUGGUAGUCAGGAGAAAGGUAAAUGGAUAGAGGUUAUAACAGAGGAAAUUGAGUCACUGCAUAAAAAUGAUACUUGGGAUUUGGUGAAACUGCCAGAGGGGAAGAAACAGAUAGGGUGUAAGUGGGUGUAUAGAAAGAAAGAAGCAAUGUCAAAAAAGGAAGAAGAAAGAUACAAGGCUCGAUUAGUAGCAAAGGGAUACUCACAAGGAAGGGAGUAGAAUAUGAUGAAAUUUUUUCCCCGAUCGUCAAACAAACCUCCAUCGGGAUUAUUUUGGCAAUGGUGGCUAUUUUGGAUUUGGAGUUAGAGUAGCUGGAUGUGAAGACUGCUUUUCAUCAUGGUGAUUUGGAGGAACAGAUUUUCAUGGAGCAACUAGAAGGGUUCUUGGAACUAAGAACAGAGAAUCUUGUGUGUAAACUGAAGAAGUCUUUAUACGGGCUUAAGCAGUCUCCACGGCAAUGGUACAAGAAGUUCGACUCUCAUAUGAUUCAGAUUGGCUACAGUCAUUGUGAGUAUGAUUGUUGCAUUUACUACAGAGUUCUUGAGGAUAACUCAUAUAUUUUCUUGAUGUUGUAUGUGGACGACAUGCUAAUUGCUGCUAAGAACAUGGAUGAGCUAGACAAAUUGAAAUCUUUGUUGAGUAGUAAGUUUGAUAUAAAAGACUUUGGACCGGCUAAGAAAAUUCUUAGAAUGGAGAUCAACAGAGAUAGGAAGGCUAGAAAAUUAUGGGCGUCUUAGAAAAAUUAUUUGAAGAAAGUGUUAGAGAGGUUUAGCAUGUCAGAUGCAAAAUCAGUUGUUACACCACUGGCAAAUCACUUCAGAUUAUCUAAUAAUCAGUGCCCAAAGAGUGAAGAAGAAGUUACAGAGAUGUCAAAGGUACCUUAUGCCAGCACAGUUGGAUGUUUGAUAUAUGCAAUGGUGUGUAUAGACCAAAUUUAGCACAUGCAGUCAGUGUGGGUAGUAAGUAUAUGGCUAAUCCUGGUAGAGAGCAUUGGAGAGCUAUAAAGUGGAUUUUCAAGUACUUGAAAGGUACAAUGGAGUGCAGGAUCAUGUUUGAGAGACAACAUGGUGAUAUUUCAGUUCAAGGAUAUGUAGAUGCAGAUUAUGCAGGGGACUUGGAUGACAGAAGGUCCUAUAGAGGUUAUGUUUUCACACUCGCAGGUGGGCCCAUAUGUUGGAGAUCAAUGGUGCAAUCACUUGUGGCAUUAUCUACAAUUGAAGCAGAGUACAUGGCAGCAACUAAGGUAGCUAAGGAAUUAUUUUGGUUGAAAGGGCUUGCCAGGGAACUUGGGAUCAAGCAAGAUGGAAUGAACCUGUACUGUGAUAGUCAGAGCGCCAUCUUCCUAGCUAAGAAUCAGAUUUAUCAUGCAAGAACCAAGAACAUUGAUGUGAGAUUUCAUAAGAUAAGAAAGUUAAUUACUUCAGGAGGGCUGUUGUUAGAGAAGGUACAUACCUAAGAGAAUGCAGCAGACAUGAUGACAAAGUCAAUCACAGUGGAUAGGUUCAAGCACUGCUUGAACUUGAUUAACAUCUCUAGGUGCUAGAGAGGAUGUGUCCCAACCCAUUGGUCCUAGAUGGUGUGGUUUUUUCUAGGUUAUGUUUUUUUCCUACGGUGUGGCUCAUAUAGAGUGGAACACAGGUCCUAGAUCAAAUGGGCCGAUGCCAGCGCGGAGCGGAGUGGACUGAGAAGAACGAAGCGACGGCAUCGACGUUGCGCGAGUUUAAUUCACUGUUUGGUUGUUAGGGACGCUGAAUGGGUUGGGGGUGCAGGGGCAACCCCCUGGCGGUACGGUACAAGGGUAUUUUCUGUAUGGGCCUUAAAAUCUUAUAUGGGCUCAGGCUAGGGUUAGUAUAAAUAAUAUGUUGUAACCCCAUUUUUCACUAUUGAAUAAAGAAAUCUCCGCUUCGCUCUUGUGGACGUAGGCACACCGCCGAACCACGUAAAAUUCUUGUGUUGAUUUUCGCUUUUAUCUCUUUAAUAUUGCGCAUAAAAUCCAACAUAGACAAAUAUAUACUCUAGGGUUAGGCUUUAAGUUGGGCCGUUAAAGGGGUAAACGGGCCAAGAUUCAAGCCAUCCAUAAGGAAAUAAAAUUGGGCCGGAUGUAGCUCAUGGAUUUGGUUGUUGGACUUAUUUCAUUCAUCGGUCUAUGCUUAUGAAAUAAUAUUAACCCACGUUAACAUCAUAGCCCAGGAUUUAUUGGGUAUCAAAAACCCAACAAAUCUGCACCUUGAUUCCCAAUAAAUCUGCAAGCAAUCAAAACACACCGUUAAGACUUUCAUAAUCAGGGUAGCUAAUAAAAUUGGAUCACAGACCUUACCUCGUGUUUUCAACUUGAAACACAUACCAUACCUGCUCCAUGUACUCACUAGGGCUAAGGUUAAAAAACAUCCAAGUAGAAGCAAAUAUUUAACAGUAAACAAUCAAGAGCAAAUACACGUGCGAUGACGAUAAACUAUAGGAUAACACACACAGAUCUUUUCAGAAACAUGUUCACAUAGAACCAUAUAUUAACACCAAGUCAAUUAAACUACGGUCAACACAUGCAUAAAUGACCAUAAGAAAAGAUCUCAGCACACUUAUCCUAUCCCAUUCCGUGUUGCUCACACCUCCAGAACACAUAUCUCCUCUCAUUGCCCACCAAGCUCACUAGACAGAUCACUCAACUCAUGUCUAACUGGCAAGUCUCAAUAGAUCCUAGGUCCACGGGAUAAUCCUCUAUCUCUACAUCACUUCUUCCAACCUAUGUGGAUAAUAAGUCUCCACCUAAUAGAAGUGAUAGAAGUGCCUCUCUCACACUCCACCUGAUCAGGGUCUCUUUCCAGAUAAAGGAUUCUAGACAUUUUAUCACAUCUCCACUCGUGAUCCAACUAUCAUACUCCACAUCUUUGGUACAAACCACCAUGUACCCCUAGGCAUCUAUACUUCACCUUACCAAAAGACACACAACGCACAGCUAUGCAUCACAAACUCACCGCGGCAAAACAACACCUUUCGGUGACCGCAAAGGUUACCCUAAUCAUCAAAGCUCCAAAAAAUCCAUAAAGAAAAUGGCGAAGGUAGCACUCACAAUGAAAAAUCGAAGAAAGAGUCAGUUACUUCACAACAUUCACAAAUGAGGCUCACAAAGAUAAAGAAGGUAACCCUAACAUGGCUGCCUCACAUAAUCUCACAAACCACACAGGCUUACAAAGAUAAAGGAGAGAAAUGACUACCUAACUUUCUUCUCACUACCACACUCUCACACCACUCACAGAGUAAAUAGAGUACGCCACAAAACUUAAUUCACUAUGCAUGUAAACAUAUUACACAAAGUAAUAAAUCACUCUAAUUCAUGCAAUUACACACAUCAAACAUAUUGAAAGUGUAACAUCAACAUUGAUACAGAAUUAAGUGAUCAUAUACAUGCGGAAAGGAUUACACACAGAUGCGAUGCAGUAACCAAGUUUAUUCUCUCAAUAAACAUCAUUAGGAUCACUACUCGACCCUAAAGUCACAUUCACCUCAUCUCUAUUCUCAUAUUUCCUUUUAUUAUCAUCCUAAGACAAUCUCUUUCAACUAUACCCAAAUUUUACCACAGUUAAAACAUAUUUAAUUUUUCGCAUUUGUCUUAGACCUAUACAUGCCAACAAUACCAAAUGAUGACCACGAGCGAAGUAUUGACACAUAAUUCACACAGAAUAGUCAAGUAAACUUUCCUAAGGUCACAUCCAAUUCUAUCGAUGAAAAAAAAAAUUGGUUACAAAUUCACAGAUAAAUUAAGACAACUAAUUAACAAGCAAUUUCUAGGUCUAAUAGUAGGCAAUGGUUACCCCUUCACGAUAACCCCAAACCUAACGUCACAUCACACAAUGACUUCAAAUGCGCAAAAUAAAUAAUUAACUAUACAUUAAUUUUAACUGCAAUAAUAAAAGGAAAAGAAUACGAUACUGAGCGGACCACGUCUGAAGGUUCGUAAAUAUUGAGACAUGUGAAUUAACCACUUUAGGACUAUCACUAUUCGUCCUAAAGUCUUUGAAAACUGCAGCAACCAAAAAUUCACGAUCGAGUCCCGAAUGCCCGAAGAACAACGCUAUCCAGAUUCUACUGCGUACCCUGAAACAGAAAACUUUCAACACGAAAAAUGUCAAAAAUAAUAUGAGGAACAAAAUGCCUAAGGGAUCUCCUCAAAAUUCCCUCUCACGCGCCCUCAUGUGCGGAUCCUUCCCUCUAUGUGUGGGCCUCAUGCGCUGUCAUAUGCGUCACCGUGGAUCGACAUGUGUCAUUUUGUAGGGUUCAUCUCCACCUGCACAUCACGUUACUGGUCUUCGUUUUCCAAAACUCCUUCUGGAUUGAUCAGAAAAUGCGAAAAACAGAGAUUGAUUUUGACAGUUUUUGGACAGCUUCUUCGAUCCGAUUUUUGCUGCGAUUUCUAGACAUUUUUGGUAUGUUUCAUGAGCCAAAACCACCACCUUGAAGCUCUAAUACCAAUUAUUGCGGAAGUUCUCUUGAAAGAUCUUCAAAUCAGCGAUAUUCGGGCUCAGUUCAAUGUACCUUUCUCAACCAACAACCAUUCCAAUCGGCUCCAAACCACAACCAAUUGAUUCACCUUGGUUUCUAUGCAAUCUUACCCAUGUAGGACAAGAAAGGAUGAUGAUUUAUGGACAAAAGGGCUAAGAGAAGACACCAGAAAGGUAUACUAUGAAAGAACCACCAAUUACACACGUUAUACAAGCGUUCUGGACACCUUUUUUCUCACACAAAAGGGGACAGUCGGGAUUCUCUUUUUCUUCUCUCAAAAUCACGCAAAAACAUCAUUAGAAAGUGGCUAGGGUUAUAGCCAAAUAUAUACUCUAGGGUUAGGCUUUAAGUUGGGCCAUUAAAGAGGUAAACGGGCCAAGAUUCAAGCCAUCCAUAAGGAAUUAAAAUUGGAUUGGGUGUAGCUCAUGGACUUGAUUGUUCGGCUUAUUUUAUUCAUCGGCCUGUGCCUAUGAAACAAUAUUAACCCACGUUAACAUUAUAGCCCGGGAUUUAUUGGGUAUAAAAAACCCAACAAGAUAUUUGAAGACAUCCCCAUGACAAGGGUUGAUUUAUCCAGUAAAAAGUAAGCUACAGCUCACUACCUUUUGUGAUGCAAAUCGGGGCACUUAUCUAGAAACUAGAAGGUCCAUUAUCGAGUUUUGCAUUUUCUUUGGAGAUGGUUUAAUAUUGUGGAGGUCAAAGAAACAAAGGCCUGUGUCUAGGUCCUCUGCUGAGGCAGAAUAUCAAUCAAUGGCUACAACAACUUGUGAGCUGGUGUGGUUUAAAAGUUUGUUGAAUGAUUUUGGCAUAUCUGUUGAAAAAUUGAUACAAUUAUUCUAUGAUAAUCAAAUAGCUGUACAUAUUACUUCAAAUCCAGUUUGCCAUGAGAGAACAAAAUACAUAGAAAUUGAUUGUCACAUUGUGAGGGAGAAAAUACAGAUCGGUUUGAUAAUGAUGUUUCACAUCUCAACAAACUUACAAGUUGUAGAAGUAAUGACGAAGACAAUUGGUUCAAAGAAGUUCAAAUAUCUCUUAGGCAAGAUGGGGAUUUAUUCAAUUACAUCUCCAUCUUGAGGGGGAGUAAUGAGAUAGAUAUUUGAAUUAAAUAUGGCAAAAAACAUAGAUCACUAGAACAAGAAAAAUUGCCUCCAAGUUUUGUAAUUAAAAAUUGCCUGGAAGUUUUGUAAUUAUCUGUGUACCUUUUACAAAGGAGGAAAAAGCUCUACAAGUGAAGAAAUAGAGUGGUUGUUUUGCUAAAAAGGGAAUGCAUUAGAAUGAAAGAAAGUAGCUGUGUUAUUAGUCCUAUAGCUGUUAUGUUUAGUCUAUAUUCAUCUUUGAUUUUCUGAAUCUGAUUUUAAUAGAUAUGUAGAGCUCUCUCCUUGUAUAUUUAAAGUGGAGAACGCAAGGAAAUAAAACUUAAUCUUUACUUGUUCAUUGUUGGCAAUCAAUCAUUCUCUCUUCAUUUUUGUUACUUACGUCACGCAUGUGUUGUGCGUUUGUUGUUCAAGACGUUUCACAUCUCAACAAACUUACAAGUUGUAGAAGUAAUGACGAAGACAAAUGGUUCAAAGAAGUUCCAAUAUCUCUUAGGCAAGAUAGGGAUUCAUUCAAUUACAUCUCCAUCUUGAGGGGGAGUAAAGAGAUAGAUAUUUGAAUUAAAUAUGGCAGAAAACAUAGAUCACUGGAAUAAGAAAAAUUGCCUCCAAGUUUUGUAAUUAAAAAUUGCCUGGAAGUUUUGUAAUUAUCUGUUGACCUUUUAGAAAGUAGGAAAAAGCUCUACAAGUGAAGAAAUAGAGUGGCUAUUUUGCCAAAAAGGGAAUGCAUUGGAAUGAAAGAAAGUCGCUAUGUUAUUAGUCCUAUAGCUGUUAUGUUUAUUCUGUAUUCAUCUCUGAUUUUCUGAAUCUGAUUUUAAUAGAUAUGCAGAGCUCUCUCCUUGAAUAUUUAAAGUGGAGAAUGCAAGGAAAUAAAACUUAAUCUUUACUGGUUCAUUGUUGGCAAUCAAUCCUUCUCUCUUCUUUUUUGUUAUUUACAUCAUGCAUGUGUUGUGUGUUUGUUGUUCAAGAGUGCGAUAGUAUAUGUAUUAAAAAAUAAUAUUCUGUAAAUAUUUUGAACAAAACACAAUUUUUGGAGACAAUUCAGAAAAUGUUUUGUCAUUUGUAUCUUCAACUACACAAUUAUAAUGAACACGCAUUUAUUGUUAACCCAAUGCAUGGGACCCACGUUCUUAUAAAUUAACUUUUGUUCAGCCAGGAAUUCAAAAAUAUCAUAUAAAACACUUUUUGAUGAUUGUACAUUACUAUUUAAAAAGGCAUUUUUUUGGUUUCCCUCAUAGAGUGCAAUUAUUUUGAACAUGCAUUUAUUGUGCACCCGAUGUAUGGGAUCUACGUAUCUUUUGUUUAGACAGGUAAUCAAAUUUUAAAUGAGAUACAUUUUUAUGAGUGUAACGUGACUAUUUAAAAAAUAUUGGUCAGUUUUCAUCAUCUAUAAAGAACACGUAUUUUUAUCCACUAAAUAUAUAUAGGAUCAACAUUUUAUAUGUUGCCUUUGAACAUUUCAAAUUUUGACAUUUUUACAAGUGAUGAAUGACUAUUUAAAAAGUAUUUUGCAGGGUUUUCAUCAAUUUGCAACUAUAAUGACCAAUUUGCAUCGCACCAUACCCAUCGCACCUCCACCAACACUUGAUUAUAUUGACAAGUAUGCCUUUUAUCUACUCUAACAAACAGCCUUUAGUGCCCUCCCUCUGCCUUUUUCACUUUCUCUCUAUGUACUAAUCUUCUUAUAACUGCAGGUUCUUAUCAUAAAUUCAAAUUGUUUUUACAAUGUGGAUGCACUCUCAAUCUUACUAUCUGAGCUGAAAUUUCCAAUUCAUACUCGCCGUCGCAGAAUGACAUUUAGCAAUGUGUCAGGGCAAUACAUGUGACCGAAAAUGUCACGUGGUAUGACAAAACUUAACUCGUUCGUUUACCGUGAAACUAUAAUCUCUUCGUCAAUAUGAUCCGAUCAAUUACGCGAUAUGAAAGUGUGUUAAUCUCGAUUAUCGAUCAUAUCUUUCACUCCACUAUUAUGUCAAUAUAAGUCGAAAUCUCCUUUUCGACUUCUGAGUACACCUUGGCCAAGGAUUUCGCUAUCGGUUUGAUUGAAUGAAAAGCUGAUCAUAAUCUCUUACUAUCUAAGAGUGACGAAUCCUCUAUUGGUCAUUCACAACCUUCAUACAAUUCUUGACAUACCCGAGCGGUGCUGUAAUGGUGGCCCUUACCAAAACAACAUUCAACACCGUGAAAGCAUGAUUGUCCUUAUAUAAUGCACUAUGACGACCUCAAGUCAAAGGAAAAAUUUCACUACCGAAUGUUAGAGAUUAACCACUGACACUCAGAUAGUUAUCCAUGUGAAAUCUCUCGACGGGUCUCCAAUGUUUUGUUCUAUAACAAAACACUUUAGCUUGUGAGAUCAACUACUUACUUCAAAAAUAAGGAAUGUCACACGUGGUGGUUUAUCCAUAAUAACGAUAUCCUUAUCUCAUCAUUACUUACGACCAAGGAUGAUUUUAGAUUCAAUCAUAUGUAAUUUGUAUAUCACAAUCACAACUCCUUGUAAUUAAUUAUUAAAAUUUGAAUCUACGGACUCCAUUAUUUAAUUCAAUUGAAUAUUAAUUAAUUAAAUAAUAGAUCUUCCAUAAAUUACAUAAAUUAUAUAUUAAAACUGUUUAUGUCCAAGGUCGAUUAGACUUAGGGCAUAACACUUACAAAUCCCAUUUUGCAUUGUUAAAAAUGAUUCAAAGUACUCUUGAUACUUUCUAACAUUUCUUUCCUUUCCCAUAUGAGAAAUUUUCAUUCAUUGUUCUGGAAAAAAAAAGAUUAUUAAAGAUGGAAUAGUUCUGAAACCACCUUGUUGGACCGGAAGGCGACUCAGAAUUUGAGAUUUAAUGGUGUAAUAUGAAAUAUAUAAGAUCACAACCAAUAGAACAAGAUUAAAGUAAAGAAAUAAAAUAAGAACUAAGUAGAGGAAUCAAUAUUUUAUUAAUUUACAAUAUGAAGAGUACAAAGAACUUAGCAAUAUUGGCUUCACAAAUGUAGAAAAAUAGCCAAGUAUUUAUAGGGAAAAAUCCAUCCCUAUAAGUAAAAUUGUAGAUGAAAUAAAAUGACAAAAUUUUUCUUUUUUGAUCUCAUCAAGUCCAACACAAAUUUCAAUUCUCAAUAGGCUUUCACAUAGAACUUUAGCUAGAAUUUGUCAAUUAAACUUGAAUAAGAUUCCUCAAUAGUAUUCCAAUUAAAAUUCAUGCGUGCACUUCAAUUUGAACUCGACAAUUAUUUCAACUAGGAAUUCGAGUCACACCCAAAUUCGAACGACGAUUUCCUUUUGAAUUGAAAUCUGAAUUUCUAUGGGUGUAUUUUUUCUUUGAUAAUCUCUGUUUCCAACAAAUCUCAUAUCAUUAUUGUACAUGAUUUUGGAUAAUCUCUGUUUCCAAUAAAUCUCAUAUCAUCGUUGUACAUGAUUUACAUGAUACAGUAUUCCCGUGUUUCUGUAAUGUGCUUCACCAUCUAUGUUAAACCUUAUAUAUUGUGCAAUGACAAACACUACUUACACAGAUUUAUUACCAACAAGGAAUGGGUGAUCAAAAAAUCAUUGUUGGAUUUGGUUCUUUGCUUUACAUGAUACAGUAUUCCCGUGUUUUUUUUUUUUUACUUCCUGUAUUACGUGGUUCAUGCAACUACCUUCUUUUAUAUCUUGAUGUUGAGUAAUAUGGUUUAUUUAUGAUUUCUAGGUAGAAUUUUACAAGGCUUCAGGUAGAUAUGUUAAUAAAAAUGGAAGCUCACUUGUCACUUUCCUGUGAAUAUAUAUAUAUGUAUUAUUUUAUUUUAUUAUUUUAUUUUUUACGUUUGCAGUGUGCAAAAUUCUAAUCAACCUAUAUUAUGCCAGAAGGAGAUAUAGACGAGAUUUUUCAGGAAACAGCCGAUGGACAAAUAUUCUGGGUGCUCUUAAUGUGCAGAAUUAAAUAGGCGUAGAGAAAAGGGAACCCGCGUGGUAGGGGACAAACUGAAUUGAUGAUUCUAGACUAGAUCAUUCCAAUGACGCUUCUUGGAGGAUAUGAGUCCUACCAUUCUGUUUGAUUCUCGUCUGAUUUUCAAAAAAUCGCAAAAAAGUUAGAAAAGAGACAAUAAAUUUGGAGCAUGCAUGGGUUGUGCAUAUGUCGUGCAUGCAGGGCGGACCUGCAUGAGAUCAUGUGAGGUCAAGUGAUCCCACAAAAUUUUUUUAACUAUCUUUUUUUUUCUUUUGUUCCCCCAAAUUUUUGUUGUUGCCCUAACUCUGUCUUUGCCCUUACAAGUUUUGCCUGACUACUCACGGUUACUCUCUUUUACUUAACUUUAGAAUACAUAACUCAAAUUCAAUCUCCAAUUUCAAUCUCUAUUCUUCAAUCCAAAUAAGCCCUUCUUCUCCAAUAAUCAAUCUUUAUUCUUUAAUCUUGUAUGUAAUUUCACAAUUUUAAUUUGUAUGUUUGAUGUACAGGUUUUAUGUCUGAUUUUCUCUCAUUUUAUUUUUCUAUAUUAUUCUUCAUGAUUGAGGGUCUAAGAUUUUGAUGUUGCAAUUGAUUUUGGAGAAAUGUUUGAAAUAAUAGAAGAAUUGGAGGAAUCUUUGUCACUAAUGCCCAGACUAAUGAAGGUUGGUUUGAUUCUAGAAGAAUUUUUUUAGACUUUUAAUCCUUAAAACAAAAUUCUAGGGGUGUUAAUUGUUACGUUUCCAUUAAGUAUCAUUACUGCCCUCGCUUUUAUUGUAUUUUAAAUUAUAAUAGUAAAACUAUGAACCAUUUAGGUUAUGAUCAUUGAACUUCCUUCUAUAUAUGUAGUUUUGAAUACAAACGGUUUGAAAGCCAACUAAUUGGUGAUUAUCUAUUGUGAAUAAAGCUAGUCAUUUAACUUCUGGUUCUUAGAUUUGUGUCCUCUAGUGUGGCUAGUCUCAAGGUGUAGAGUAUAGGCUUUGUUGAUGUGUAUGGUUUUGUCAUUAGUUCUCCUACGUGAUUUUAUAUUCUUAGACUGUAUUACAUACUAAAAAAGAAAUGAAGAUUAUUAAAAAUUGAUUAUGUGAUCGGAUGAGAGAUCAAUGGUUAAGUGAUAGUUUGGUAGCAUUUAUUGAGAACGAUGUAUUUGAAAAUAUUUAUAAUGAUAUAAUUAUACUAUUUUUUAAGAUAUGAAAAUUCACUGGCUACAAUUUUAGUAGCGUAUUGACUUAAUUUCAUUAACGUUAUAAUGUUUUUAAAAAAAGCAUUUUAAUUUUUGAUCCCACAAUAGAAAAUGUCUAGAUGUGCCAUUGCGUGCAUGUGUUGUGCAUUCAUAGGUCAAGAUGAAAAAGUUAUUGGGAGAAUACGUGUAUUAAAAUCAAUGUUUUGCAAAAUUUUCAAACAAGACAAUUUUUGGAGUGUAACAUGACUACUUGAAAAGUGUCUUAUCUUUUGUGUCUUCGGAUGCACAAAUGAACACGCAUUUAUUAUUUACCCAAUGCAUGGGAUCUACGUUCUUUUAAAUUAACUUUCAUUUAGUUGGGCAUUCAAAAAUACCAAAUAAAAUAUGUUUUAAUGAUGUACAUUAUUAUUUAAAAAGAAUUUUGUUAAUUUUCAUCAUUGACCCUGCAAUAAGGCACCAAAGUAUGGGACCCACGUAACUUUUGUUUAGAUAGGUAAUCAAAUUUCAAAUGAGAUGCGUUUUUAUGGGUGUUACAUAAAUAUUUAAAAAAGAUUCGUCAGUUUCCAUCAUUGAUAGUAAACAUACAAUGAACGCACAUUGUUAUCCACUAAAUGCAAGGGAUCCACAUUUGUAUCCAUUGACUUUUGUUCAUAUGGUGUACAAAAAUUCUGAAUUUAAACAUUUUUACAAUUAUUACAUGACUAUUUAAAAGGGUUUGGCUGAGGUUUCACUAGAGGCAAUACAACUACUAUAAGGGCCAAUUGAUCUCGCCUUCUACCCACCAUAAAUCCAACACCACUUGAUUAAAAUGACAACUAUGCCCUUCAUAUUAAUACUCGUCAUAUCCCGCAAAGUUCUUUUUAUUUAGACCAGCAAACAGCUUUUAGGGCUCUCUCUAUCUCUCUGUGCUAAAAUAUUUCAAUUUGUAAAACCAAGUAAAUACUUAUUUAGACCAGCAAACAGCUUUUAGGGCUCUCUCUAUCUCUCUGUGCUAAAAUAUUUCAAUUUGUAAAACCAAGUAAAUACAAUUGAAUUCCUAGAGAAUUUGUGGACAGUUGUAUAUACAUCGUUGUCAUCAUCAAAUGUGAUGUGGGCUUUCGAGUCUAUAAGCAUGGAGGAAAUUCUCAAAAAUAUUUACUUAGAUUCGGAGUGUUUUGCUUUGGAUAUAAUGGAGUUGCUGAUUUUCGUGUUGGUGCUAGAGGAGAAUUGAAAAUGAAGAGUAACUGGAGGACUACAAGAAAAAUCAAAAACUAAAUCAAUCUACCUAAAUAUGGAGAUAACAUGCUUCAAUUUCGCAACUUUGGGAAGAGGGAAGUAUUUAUUAGAGAUUUUCUUGACUAGAUCAUUUUAGUGAUGCUGUUUGGAGAACGAGUCCAGGCACUCUCUUUGAUUUGGGUCUGAUUUUCUCUUAAUUGCUAAAAGAUUAGAAAAGAGACAAAAUGAGAAGCCCAUCCAUGGGUCAUUACAUCGUGCAUGUUGUGUGCAUUCGUUGUUCAAGAAAAAAAUGUUAUUGAGAGUGUAUAUAUAUAUAUAUAUAUAUAUAUAUAUAUAUAUAUAUAUAUAUAUUAAAGAAUCAUUGUUGUUGGAAGAAACGACUCUUGUUUUUCGUCUCAUAGUUCGACCCCACUGUGAUCUCAUUUUGCAUUAUUAAAAUUAAGGAUGGACAAAACUCUCGAUCUAAACCAAUUAGCUUGGUUCGAUUUUUCUUAGGUUAAAUUCUUGAAUGGGUACUAGAACUGAAAAUCAACGAAUUUGAUUUGGUUUACAAUCUUAGACCAAGAAUUGAAUAACCAAAUAAGAACCGAAUGUUCCUAAUUUUUUUUUAUAUUGAAUAAGCUUAAUUGUUUUAAUUAUUUUCUAAAUAAAUUUGUCAAUUAACUAAUUAAGUGAUUAAUUGUAGGAAAAUUUUCAUAAGUAAGAGAUUGAGUAUGACAUAUUUCAAAAUUAAGAAAAUAAGUUUUAAAUUUCACAAAUCAGAUUUUAUUAAAAUUUAUUUAUGAUUAAAUUAAUUAAUUAAUUAUUUUAUUAGUUAACUAUAUUUAAGUCACAGAUCUAUACAAUUUAGUCACAAAUUAACAAUUUAAUUAGUCACUUAUUAUUUUUUGGUCACAAAUUAAAAAUUUUAUAUCAAAAAUUAUUUUACGAUCAAAAUUCAAAAAUUUUUUAUGUCACAAUUUGUUCAUUGGACACAAAUCAAAAAAUUAAUUAAUCAUGAAUUAAUUUUUAGUCACACUUAUCAAUUUAUUGACCACAAAUCAAAAAUUUUAUAGGUCACAAAUUAUUUUUCCAUUACAUAUCAAAAAUUUUAUAGGUCACAAAUUAUUAUUCGAUCACAGAGUCAAAACUUUUAUUGAUCACAACUCAAUUAUUCAUUGAAAUUUUUUUGAUUAAUUGGCCACGAUUAAUUUUUCGGUCACAACUUAAUGAAUUGUGAGUCACGGUCACAAUUUUCAACUAAUUUAUUGGUCACAAACACAGUAAAGCACCAUCUUACCACCACCACAACUAUCUCACCCAUCCUAACCUACUUCGCCAUCGCCGCUACCAUACCACAUCGCCACCAACGACCACCACACAACACAAAAAUGCAUAAACCGAGAUAACACCACCUCGCCAUCGCAAAAAAUUGCCACUAUCUCAUCGGACCACCAAAACACAAAUGACCGCCACAAAUCCAAAAACCAAAAAAACACCACCACCACUACCCACACUACCGCACCACCACCAUCCCAUCACCACCACAAUCACCAUUUGCAAAAUCACAUCCAUCCCCACCCAACAAAUCAGAAACUUACACCUGCUUACUCAAAUCUCGCCUGACCACCACCACAUACCUUUAACAAAAUCGCUACCGAUCUCCCCAAUCUACCAAUAUUCCUUACCUCGCCAGCAGCCACUUUUUCAUAGAUCUAUCCACCUUCGUCUUCAUCAACAAUCCCAUAGCCCAAAACCAAUUGCACGAUGGCACCCGUCAUUGCUCCUUAUUGUAUCUACUUCGUGCAACGCUACUUGUUGUAUCUACUCCUCGCCACUAUUAAAUACUAUUGUUGAUUCGGGCAACACUCCUGCCCGCACUGUCAACGGUGGUCUCCCUCCGAUGUCUCUAUUUAGAUCCGCUCGCAGAGGCACAGUUGCUACUAGAGAUGACACUUAAUCUACUAUGAUGACUUCAUCGUCAUAGUGUCAUUAGAGUGAGUGGUCAGUUGCCGGAGAAAAAAUAAAAAUGGGGAAAAUAGAGAGUGAGUGAUUGAUUUGGGGAUGAAUUGAUUUAAUUAGAAAUGUAUUACUACAAUAUUAAAUCUUAGAGAAAAAAUGUAGAGGGAGAAAAAGUAAGUGAGAAAAUUAGGGUUUUCUGAUUUUUGAAUAGUAAAACUUUCCAACUGAUUUUAGAAUGUGGAAUUUUUAAAAUAUGGUAUUGUAUAAUUUUCACUUAAUUGUAAGUGUGCAAGGAUCCAACGUUCAAGGGCCAACCCAACUUGAGCCCAAAAUAAUUUUUUUCUAUAAAUUUCAAUCCAAGACACUUUACUUCACAAAUCACCUAGCACUCACUCGUUCUAUCAUUUAGGUUUAGUUAUUGCCUUAGUUUUCAGCUGCUCGUCUCUCACAAGCCAAGAAUUUAUUUUUGAUCCUCAAGAUCCACGUGGACCAUGCCAUCAAAUCCUAUAUUUUCCUAUAUAAAAUCUUACUAGUUGGACAAUUUAUAGUUUAUUUAUUUUUGUCAAUUGAGCCUUUUCAAUUAUUUCUUGUAGAGUUUUUUAGCGUGACAAGUCCAUUGAUUGAUGAUUAAUUUGAAUGGUUGACAAGUACUAGCAAUACUUAGAAAUGUUUUAUUUAUAUAACAUUUAAUUUAUAUUUUAUUUUUUUUAUGUAGAUUUGAAUUCUUGAAGCAAAUAAAUAAAUGUGAAAGAAUUAUCGAUGUUUUAACAUUAUUAUUUGCUUUUUGGUAAUUUGUAUACAUUGGUGAAUGAAUCUUAUUAGACAACUUAUCAUUUGUAUAUAUUUAAAUUUCACUUAUUUCGCAGGAGUUAAGAUUGAACAUAUCAUUGACAGGAUUAGAUCAAUGAAGUGUUAUUAUAAAUGUUAAAAAGUUUAAUUAUAGCAUUGAACCGAAUGAAAUAGAAUCGGUUAGGUUCCAUAAUCAAAUUUAUACUGAAUGGUUCCACUUACUAAAUAUCUAAAAAUUUUGGUUCAAAAAGAACUUAAACAUAUCAUGUCAAGGCCUAUAAAGAAUGUUCCAAUGUACUCUUGAUACUUUGUCACAUUUCUUUCCUUUCCCAUAUGAGAAAAACAUAUUCAAUGUUCGGGCGAUUAAAAAAAUAGAUUCCUUUCCAAUUUAACUCUGAAUUUUCUACUUCUUUGGUAAUCUCUAUUUCCAAUAAAUCUCAUAUCACCAUUAUACAUGAUUACAUGAUGCAGUAUUCAUGUGCUUCUCUGUUGUGCUUCACCGUCUAUGUACAAUGACAUGCACUACUUACAAAUACAUAUCAAACAAUCAAGGAAAGGGUGACUAAAAAAUCAUUGUUAGAUUUGGUUUUUUGCUUUAGUUAAUGCCAUUCGAGUAGCUUCUUUUGAAAAGUUACGGAUACAUCUGUUUAUUCCUUCAUGUAUUACAUGGCUCGGACUGUUAGUUUGAUGCCCAUUCUUUGAGUAAUGUUCUGUAAAAUCACAUUAUAAAUUUACGUUUGUUUAUUUGCAUGUUAUAUUUGAAGUGAUUGUCUAAGGUUCCAUGAUCAUAGAGGAUGUCAUAAAUUGUAUACUCGAUGGAUUGGGUAUAGUAAGACACAAUUUGUGAUGUGAUCAAAAUUAUGUCGUUUACAAUCGAUUCAUAAAGUUGGACGCUUUAUGUUGAUAAGAUUGUAUUGUUCUUAUUAAGAUUUGUCUAGAUCUUGAAAUAGGAACAAUAAUAUGUUUCGAUGCACAUUGAACGGGACCACCUAGAUGACUCAUUUGUGAUCGUUUGAAAUGAGAAUCUACUUGAUUAUCAAACAGGUCACCUAAAUCCUGAGUGAGUAAUAUACCUUUGAUUGCUAGUUCAAGUUCUUUGAGGUACCAAUGAGUGAAGUCUUAAAUAGAAGAUUGAUCUCGGUGCUUUGGGAAUCGGGCCGAAACAAUUAGAGAUCAUAUACUUACAAUAUUGGAAUCCAUUAAUCAUUGAGAUGAGAAGAUCGUCACUCUAAGGUAUUUUCCUAGGCAAAUUGAAUCUGACCUCAGUAGGUCAAUGAUGAGAUUGUUGGACUUUACAUUGUGAUUUGAUCACAACGAAUUUUCCGUAUGAAAAUGGGACUUAGAAGGUAAUGCAUGUUGAAGGACAAAAUGGUCAUUUUGCCAAUUUCAACAUAUUGACGGUCAAAUGGGGGAUCACUUGUGGAAUGAUAAUCAGAGGAUAUUAUUAUUGGAUCAUAAUUUACUUCUAUAACUAUCACUCGACUCGAGAGUGCAAUCUCAAUUUCUUGGUAGAAUAAGCCGAGAUUAAUAGAUGUAUCUCAAUUUGUCAAGAGUUGACUCAAUUGAAAACAUCUAUUGAAGCUUGGGUCAUGUGAGUCCAAUUAGGUCCCUCUCUUGGCUCUAAUAAAAGGUGUGUGAUUUAAUUGGCCUACUACAAUAAAGUCUAAGGAAAUUUGUGCAAUUUUCAAACCCUAAUAGAUUAUUAUAAAUAUGCACAUUAUUGGCAUAUUUUGGUGUGAUUUUAGGGUUAGCCACUUUUCACAUUCUCCAAAAGGGAAUAACACCUAGUGGAGAACAAGGGAGAAGAUCUAAGGGAGGAAACAAUUGGCUAGGCCAUUAAUAGCUCCUUCAAAAAGGUUAUCAUCUCUCCUUUCUAUAUAUGUGAGGAUUUUAUAAUCCAAUGAUCUCAAGGUCAAUUAAAUCCUUAUUUAUAUGAUUUUAGUUUUCAAAGGAAAAUUAAAUUCCUAUUGUGAUGAUUAAAAUUCUUUGACCAACACGGACGACUGUCAUUUAUUUUUGACGUGGAGUAAUAUUGUAAAUUUAUGAUUUCUAGGGAGAAUUUUCCAAGGCUUCAGGUAGAUAUGUUAAUAAAAAUGGAAGCCAACUUAUCACUUUCCGGUGAUAUAAUGCAAGUCAAUUUUAAUGUCAGGAUAUUCCUUCAAUUGGUUAACCUGCGAUACUUGUAAAUUUGAUGACGCCAGAAUUUGGUUGGUUUCAAUUCAAAUGCUGUUUAUUGCUACUUUGGAAAUAGUACUUUUUUUCGGAUAUGUAUUGCUUUUCUGAUAUUUAUUUCUUUGUUUAAGUUGCAAAAAAGAUUAAGAUUAAGAGGAAAAGUUCUAUACAUAAGUAUAGUUGUGCAAUGGAAUUAUACUUAAUUGAUAAAUUUUUCACAUUUCAUCCUUGGUCUGAACUGUAUGAACUAAAAUAUUUUUCAAUUUACAGGAUACAAUGUCCCCUGUUUCUUUGUUGUACUUCACAGUUUAUUCUAUUUUUUUUUCUUUUUUUUUUUUUUUUUUUGGUAAAAAUUUUCUUCAAUUAUACCCCUGUCCAGAAGAUCAAAAACCCUGAAAAAUAAUUAUACGAAUGGAAGUGUUACAUAUAUAUAUAUAUAUAUAUAUAUAUAUAUAUAUAUAUAACAGACUGUAUUGAAAGAUCAUUAUAUUCUUUCGAAAAUGGUGUAUACCCAAGCUGGCGUUUUCAAUAAGACUCAAAGUCCAGAUUGUAAUAUAAAUGCACAGAACCUACAUCGGCACACCCACCAGAAAGCCCGAAAUUGCCAUCGUAAGAAGCACGAACGGGCGCAGAAGGAUUAGGCAAAAAGAAAGCAGCCGCGAGCAUCGUUAUCUAUAUUUAUGACACCUCACGUGACAAGAUUCUUAUUAGUUAACAUUAAACUCAUACAAAAAAUAAAGGCACGGCUCAAUCUGUAAUAUCUCGAAAAUGAUUAUCAUUAUAUGUCCAUUACAUGCGUCCCCCAAGUAAUUCAAAAUUAAUGGUUUAAAUUGUUACUUGAAAAUAAUGGAGUUUAAAUCAUUAAGAAAACCAACAAAUACCAUUUGGUUGCUUUGCGUUUGGCCAUUGUUGUAAGCAACGACACUUGAUUUCUUUCCUAUCAUUCGAUCCCCAUGGUCCAGUUUGGGGAUAUUAACAAUGUAGAUAUCUAAAUUACUCUUGGUAUUUAGUCAAAAAUAUUUACUUUCCCAUAUGAGAAAAUUAUAUUCAAUGUUUGGGCAAAAAAAAAAAAAAAAAAGAAAAGAAAAGGAUUUGCUUUUGAUUUGACUCUGGGUGUAUUAUUUAUUUGGUAAUCUAUGUUUCUGUUAAAUCAUAUAUCAUCAUUAUAAAUGAUUUACAUGAUACUAUAUCCCUUUGUUUCUAUUGUUCUUGAUACAAUAUCCCUUUUUUCUACUUUUCUUCACAAUCUAUACUUCACUUGGUAUCAUUUACAUCGAUACGCGCUACAUACACAGAUGUGUUAGACAAUUAAGGAAAGGGUGAUUAAAAAUCACUGUUAUAUUAGGUUCUUUGCUUUAGUGUAUGAUAUUCAAUGAACUUCUUUUUGUAAAUUUGCAGAUACAUCUGUUUGUUUAUCUCUUUGGUUGCUGCGCCAUUAACCUUUGUUUAAAGAAUUGUUUUCUCUCCUAUUUUCGAUCCCAGUGGUCCAAUUUAACAAUGUGGUUAUAUAAAGUACUCUUUUCUUCCUUUCCCAUAUGAGAAAAUUACAUUCAAUGAUUAGGCAAUAAAAAUGGAUUUGCUUUUGAUUUGAUGUCUGGGUUUUGCGGGUGUAUUAUUUCAUUGGUAAUGUGUUUCCAUCAAAUCUCUAACAUCAUCGUUAAACUUGAUUUACAUGAUACAAUAUCCUUUAGUUUUUGUAAUUCUGUUGUGCAUCACAAUCUAUGCUUUACUAUAUCAUGUACAUCGAUCUACUAAAACAGAAAUAUUUGACGUUUAAGGAAAGGAUGAUUUUUGAAUUUCUGGACUAGAUCAUUCCAAUGAUGCAGCUUGGUGGAUAUGAAUCCACCAAUUCUGUGGGAUUUUAAUAAUUGCAAAAAAUUUAGAGAAGAGACAAAAAGGUAGCACUUGCAUGAGUGGUGUGAUUCGUUGUUCCACAAGAAACAAAGGUUAUUCAAAGAGUAUAUGUAUUAAAAACUCAAUGUUCUACAAGUUUCAAAUGAGACACAAUUUUAUGAUUGUUAGGCAACUAUUUAAAAGAAUUUGAUUGGGUUCCAUCCAUGGAAACUAUAAUGAACUCACAUUUAUAGAAAUGUGUCUCAUUCAAAAAUUUCUGAUAAGACACAUUUUUGUGAGUGUUACGUGACUAUUUAAACACAAUUUGGUUGGUUUUUGUCAUUGAUAGCAAAAAUUAUAAUGAGCAUGCGUUCAUUGUCUACCCAAUGCAUGAGACCGAGGAUCUUAUAAAUUGACUUUUGUUCGGCCUAGUGUUCAAAAAUGUCAAAUAAAACACAUUUUGAUGAAUGUACAUUAUUAUCUAAAAAGAACUCGGUUUGUUUUCAUAACUACACUAGUAAUUAUAAUAAACGCACAUUUAUUGUACGCACAAUGCAUGGGACUGAUACGUAGUUGCUGUCAUCAAAUCUACAUCACAGCCCAAUCAUGAUCUUUCUAGUACCCUAUUACAUUAUUUUACCAAUCUCCAAAUCAUCACAGUUGGACUUUCGAGUCUAUGAUCAUUAUUUUACCAAUCUCCAAUAUUCUCAAGAAUAUUUACUUCGAUUCAGAGUAUUUUAUUUUGGAUAUAAUGGGGCUGCUGGUUUUCAUGUUGGUGCUUAAGAAGAUUGAAGAUGGGAGUAAUUGGAAGGACUACAAGAAAAACAAAAAACCAAAUCAAUCUAGCAAACUAUGGAGAUAACAUGCUUCAAUUUCACAGCUUUAGCAAGAGACAAGUAUUUAUUAGAGACUUUCUUGACUAGAUCAUUCCAGUGAUUCUAUUUAGAGGAUGAGUCAAGCCAUUCUCUUUGAUUUAGGACUGAUUUUCUUUAAAUUGCAAAAAUGUUAGAAUAGAGACAAAAUGAGAAACCCAUCCAUGGUUCAUUACAUCAUGCAUGUAUUGUGCAUUCAUUGUUCAAGAGCAAAAAGGUAUUGAGAGUAUAUUAAAGUAUUAAAGUUGUUUGAAGAAAGAACUCUUGUUUUCCCUCUCAUAGCUUGAUCCCGCUUGAUCACAUUUUGCAUUAUUAAAAAUUGACCGGACAAACCGAGCAAUUCAAUUUGAUUCCUCUUAGGUUAAAUAUCUGAAUCGGUACUAGAAUUAAGAAUCGGUGGGUUUGAUUAUGUUAUUGGUUCUAGAUCAAGAAUCGACUAUGAAUCGCACUCCCUGAUUUUUUAUAUUGAAUAAGCUUAAUUACAUUAAUUUUUUCUAUAUAAAUGUAUCGAUUAACUAAUUAAGUGAUUAAUCAUGAGUGAGUAAGUCUCCAACUCUCAAGGACCAAACCAACUUGAGCUCCGAUCUUUUUCCUACAAAUUUCAGUCUAAGCCCAAAUUUAGUUCGCAAUUCACGCAACACUCACUCAUUCUAUCAUUUAAGUAUAGAUAUUGCCCUUGUUUUCAGCCGCUUCCCUCUCACAAGCCAUGCCUUCACCUUUACUCCUAAAGAUCCACACGGACCACAAAUCAAAUCCUAUAUUUUCUCAUAUUAAAUCUUAUUGGUUCGACAAUUUUUAGUUUAUUUAAGUUUAUUAGUUGUGCUUUUUCAAUUACUUAUUGUGAGUUUUUAGUGGGAUAAGUAAAUCAAUGGAUGAUUAAUUUAAAUGGUUGAUAAGUACUGGCUAUACUUAAAAAUAUUUUAUAUUCGAAGGAUUGAAGCAAAGAAGUCAAUGUAAUGGAAUUAUCAAUAUUUUAGCAUUAUUAUUUACUUUUUGGUAAGUUGUAUAUAUUGGUGAAUGGAUCUCAUUAGACAAUUUGUAUUUUGUAUAUUUUGUCCAGACAACUGUACAAAAUGUCUAAUGAGGUGUUAAUUUAUGAUUACGUCUUAUUAAAAAAUGAUUUGUGAUUUUUCGUUAACGAUAGUGUAAUGUUAUGAUCAUGCAUUUAUUGUCCACUAAACGGCAGGACCUACAUUUUAUAAAUCAAGUUUUGAUCAUAUGGUGGUAAAAAAUUUUGAAUUUAGACAGUUUUUGUCAUGUGGGAAAUAAUUGGGGGAAAAAGAAUCAGCAAAACUAGAAAUAGAAGAGAAGGAAGAAGGAAAUGGAUAUGACUGGUUUUGAAUUCAAAAAUGGUGUCAUGGCAACUUAUCAAAACGGCGUCAUUUUAUUUUGAUUAAUUGUAAUAAGCUAGAAACGUUUUUUUACAUUUUAUCAGUUGAGAAUCACACUUCUUCACUAUAGAGGUAAGCAGAUAAAUACAGUGUAAAGGGUUUGGAAAUAGUGUGUGUAAUAUCUUCUGUCAAAUUUCAGUGGAAUUGUUGAUUGAAUCAACAGCUUUCUCAUCUCCCUUCUUCUUAUUUUGCUGUUUUUCCCUUUCCCCAUUCUGUUUUCUCUAAAUUUGGUUACAAAUUUAGCUUGUGAGAAUUCCAUUAUUGAUCUAUGCAAGUCGUGGUUGCGAGGUAAGGUUCAGGUCGUGACAAUUGGUAUUAGAGCAGGCAUAUUAAACCAGGUAAGUGGUAGUCAUGGACACAAGGGCUAACGUAGUAGAUGACCAUUUGGAGAAACUGGAUUUGAAGAUUGCUAAUUUGGGUACCUCGUUCAAAGCGGUGUCCAGCAGACUAGAGAACAAAUUGGCUUCCAUGAAUCAAACACUUCAGGUAGUGGUUAAUAGACAAGAGAAUAUUGAAGGUAUUGUGUUGGAUAUGAACCAGAAGUAUGAGAAAUUAGUGGCCAUGAUGACCCAAAUGUCUUUUGAUCUUAAAAUUGAGUAGGAAAACAAAGUAAUAGAAGGAUCUAUGGUUAACUUAAGGUCUGAGAGUGGGACAUAUAGGCCAAGAACUAAUAGCAAUGAGAAUAGUGUUCAUACCACAUGAGUGCUUAAGGGAAAUAAUAGGCUACCUAAGAUGGAAUUCCACUUUGUGGGAGAAAAGGACCUAGGGAAUGGCUAAGGAAAGCCAUGAAAUAUUUCCAGAUUCACGAGACUCUUGAUGAACUUAGGUAGGGAAUUGCUGAGAUGCAUUUGGAAGGAAAGGCUUAUAUAUGGUUUUAUGGAUUCAUUGCAAACCAUCCUGGGGCGGAUUGGAGUUUCUUCCCUAAGGAAUUUUGCAGAAGGUUUUCAGAAACUAUUGAGGAAGAAGUGGUUGAGACAUUUAUCAAAAUUAAACAAUUGGGACAAAAUGAAGAUGAGUCUAAAGGAGAAUCAGGAGGUGAAAAGAUCAUAGAGAUAGCCAUUAAUGCAUUCGCUGGGAGGUGGCAACACAAGACCAUUAGAGUUCCUGGAGUGAUCAAAACGGUGUCAUUUUACUUUGAUUAAUUGUAAUAAGCUAGAAAUAUUUUUUACAUUUUAUUAGUUGAAAAUCACGCUUCUUCACAGUAGAGGUAAGGAGAUAUAUAAGGUGUAAAGGGUUUGGAAAGAGUGUGUGUAAUAUCUUCUGUCAAAUUUCAAUGGAAUUGUUAAUCACUCAAUAGCUUUUCUCAUCUUCCUUCUUCUUGUUUUGCCAUUUUCACCUUCCCGCAUAUUGUUUUCUCUUAAUUUGGUUACAAAUUCAGCUUGUGAGAAUUCCAUUAUUGAUCUGUACAAGUUGUGGUUGCGAGGUAAGGUUCAGCUUAUGACAGUUUUACAAUUGUUACAUGACUAUUUAAAAAGAAUUUUGCAGGGUUUUCGUCAAUGUGCAAAUAUAAAGGCCAAUUUUGCCUUGCUCUCCAACACCAUUUGAUUAAAAUGAUAACUAUGGCCUUCAUACUAAUAUUCUUCGUAGCCCACCACGCUCCUUUCAUUUACUUCAGCAAACAACUUUUAAUGCGCUCUUUCUGCCCUUUUUCACUUUCUUUCUCUAUUAUCAUCUUUAUAGCUAUAAAUUUCUAGCAUAAAUUCUAACUAUUUUUCCAAGGCUCACGAACUCUCAGUCUUACUGUCUGAACAAAGAUAUUUCAGUUUGUAAAAUCAAGAAAUAUGGUUAAACUCCUAGAAAAUCAAUAGGCAUUUGUAUAUAAAUAGUUGGCAUCUUCAAAGGUGAAGAUGACAUCUACGUCAUGACCUAAUCUAGAUUUGUAGGAUACUCUAUUACAUUCUUUACCAACCUCCACUAUGAUGAAUGUCGUGCUUUCAAGAAUCGAGAUUUGCUGGAUACUCUAUUACAUUAUUUACCAACCUCCACUAUGAUGAAUGUCGUGCUUUCAAGUCCAUGAGCAUGGAGCAAAUUCUUAAGAAUAUUUAAUCUGAUUUGGAGCGUUGUGGUUUGGUGAAUAAUGGGGUUGCUUGUCUUAGUGUUGGUGCUGGAGUAGACUUCAAGAUCAGGAGUGCUUGUGGACUUCAUAAAUAAUCAAAAACAAAAUUAAUCAGUCUAAAUAUGAAGAUGUUAUGCUUCAUUUUUGCAACUUUAUCAAGAGCAAGAUUUUAUUAGUGACUUUCUAGACAAUAUUAUUUCAGUGACGUUGUUUGGAGGAUGAUUAAGGCCAUUCUCUUUGAUUCCGGUCUAAUUUUCAUAGAAUUGCCAAAAAAUGUUAGAAAAGAGAUGAAAAAAUUGGAGCAUGCAUGGGCAACACAUACGUCAUGAAUGUGUUGUGUGUUCUCGUUGUUCAAGAGGAAAAAGUUAUUGAGAGAGUACAUGUAUUAAACAAUCAAUGUUCUACAAAAAUUUUGAAUGUAACACAAUUUUUUGGAGGCUAUUAGGGUUUUGUUGUUUGUGUCUUCAAUCGCACAACUAUGAUGAACAUAUAUUUAUUGUUCACCUAAUGUAUGGGACCCACAUUCUUAUAAAAAUUGACUAUUGCUAAGCCCAGUAUUCAAAAAUAUCAAAUAAAAUUUGAAGAUUGCAAAUUACUAUUUAAAAACAAUUUUGUUUGGUUUCUAGUGCAAUUAUAAUGACCAUGCAUGUAUUGUACACAGAACACCCAAUGCAUGGGAUCCACAUACCUUUUGUUUAGACUAGUAAUCAAAUUUCAAGCGAGAUGAAUUUCUCUAAGCAUCAAUCGACUAUUCAAAAGUGAAUGAUCAAUUCCAUCGUUGAUAGUACAACUAUAAUGAACACACAUUUUUAUCCACUAAAUGUGUAAGAUCCAAUCAUUAUUCAUUGACUUUGAACAUUUCGAAUUUAGAAUUUUUUACAAGAGGUACCUGACUGUUUAAAAAGUAUUUGGCGGGGUUUUAAUCAGUGACAGUGCAACUUUAAUGACCAACUUGCAUCACACAGUACCCACCACACCUCUAACACCACUAGUUUAAAUUGACAAAUAUGCCUUUGAUUAGUACUCUUCCUAUCCCACCAAGUUCCUUUUAUCUACACAACCAAACAGCCUUUAGUGCCCUCCCUAUCUCCCUUUUCACUUUCUCUCUCUGUAUCUAUUAUUUUAUAACUACAUAUUUCUAUCGUAAAUUCAAAUUGUUUUUACAAUGCUGAUGGACUCUCAAUCUUAGUGUCUGAACUAAAAUGUUUCUAUUUUCAAAAUGAAGAAAAUAUUGUUAAAAUCUUAGAAAAUUGGACAGUUGUAUAUGUAUAGCUCUCAUCAUCAAAGGUGAUUAUAGCUUCUACAUCACCGCCCAAUUGUGAACUGCCAAGUUUCCUAUCAAGUUUUUUUGCCAAUCUCCACUCUCAUGACAGUCGGGCUUUCUUGUCUAUGAGCAUGGAGCAAACUCUUAAGAAUAUUUACUCUAAUUAAGAGUGCUCACUUUUGGAUAUUAAUGGCGUUGUUGGUUUUCAUGUCGGUGUUGGAGGAGAAUUAAGAUGAGCAAUUGGGUGGAUGAUAAAUGUAUUGUUUACGCUUAUCUAGGCCGUUAAAAUGUGAUCUUUGUGAGUCAUUUUAGAUGAAUUAUAGCUUAGUUCAAUGUAAAUUGUGUGUUGUUAGGUACAAAUUGACAUAUAUGAUGAAAUUGUAUAAAAAUGGUAAAAAUGAGCUCAAUUGUAAGAGUUCCAAAGUUUUAAGAAAAAGUACAAAUACUCAAAAAUUGUGUCAAACCUCACGAUGAAGAUUCGAGAGUGCUAGGAUCAAUUAGAUGAGAAAAGAAAUCAAGUGGAUGAAAUAUAAUUAAAGUAUUUUCACACAUCAAUUUUCAGUUGAAAAAGUUAUGCUCCGAAUUUUCAGCCUCAUAUUGAUACCCAUUUUUGGCAUCGUAAAUGUUCAAAUUCGAAAAUUUAUUUCUAUGAGAGUUAUCGUUAUUUGAGUUAUCUUUUCCAACAUAUUUUGAAUCUCCUUGAUUGGAUAUUGGGAGAGAAUAUUACAACAAAACUACUGAUGGCUGUCCAGCACAUGAACUAAGGUGGACAAGGUGCGUGCUUGAGCCUCUUUUGAGGCCACUUGAGGCUUGCAAACCACUGGAGGCGAGGAAAUUCCUGUUUUCCUCAUUUUCUUUUAGUAAUUGUAGAAUGCAAUCUUUUCGCAUUUUAUAUAUUGGGAGGCAUGUCCAAAAGGGUUUAAGUGGAGGUUUUAUCAUUAUUUGAGGUAGAGAAGACGAAUUUUACAUCAAGGAGUAAAAUUUAAUAGCUUGGGUCGAAGAUUAAAGUGAGGAUAUUGGAGUUUUCAAACUCUUUGUUAGUACUAAGACCUAGUUAAUUAACCGUUUUUGCACAAUUACUCGUUUCAAUCAUAAUACACCAGUCAGUCAAAACUUCCUACGGGCAUAUUUACGUACAGUUCUAAAUGGGACAACUUAACACAUUUGUGUUCUUUAAGAUAUAAUCUAUUGUGGAAUUAAAUGAAAAUGAACACCAAAUAUAACGUGGUGAACCCAUAAGGGAAACAUCCACUGGCCCCAUGCCCUGGGUAAAAUAAUACACUCUCAAAGAAUAAAAAUACAAUAGUUUUGGUUUAGUUAUUUCAGAAAAUUAAUUAAAACAAUCAAAAGUAAAUAAAGCACAACUCACUCGUUUUCUUAUUACUUUUGAUUUGUUGGAGAGGUGGAAUCAAACCCUCCGAUCUUGACUUUAUCAUCACUUCACUAUUGUAUUUGGCCGCAACCAGCACUUGGAUUAAUAUUCACCAAUCUUUAACUCACACCAAGUAGCCUGAUCUUUGAGUAUGAUUAUAUCAUUCACACACAAGUGUAUUCUCUUCAAUUACGGUUGAAGAACAUGGUUAGAGAUACUUCAAUGGAACAUUAGCCGGUCAACACUCACUAAAGAUGGUUAGAAAACUUCAAAACUUGCUAUUUUAGGUUCGCUUGGCAUAAGCAUAUUUUUCUUAAAGCCUUCGUUGGUCCCCCAGUGAUCUUCUUUACUUAUGUAAUUGGUCCAUUAAUGAUCUUCUUUACUUAUGUAAGGACCCCUUUAAGGUACAAACGUGUCUUACCUAAAAUAUGAAAGUUUUGCACUAUAAGAAUAAUAUAAAAUAUGUUUGAUAUGGUCAAUAAUUAAAUUAUUAAUUCAUUAAAGCAAUCUUUCCUUCUUUUACUUAUUUGACCGGUCAAACCAUUUCAAUAGGGUAAAUUUAUAUUUAUGUAUCUGUAUAAAAUAUGUUUGAUAUAGUCAAUAAUUAUAAAUUAAUAAAAGUUUCGAUUUGUUAAAACGAUCUUGACUUCUUCUUCUUCUUCUUUUUUUCAAAAUUUUUUUUAACCAAUCAAACCUAUCCAAGAUGAUAAGUAUAUCCUCUUGUAUAUGCUGCUAUAAGGGAGGUAAAUAUUGCACUUCCUUUAGGGUUUAAAAACCCUAAAAACUGCAGUCAAGAAUUUGUUAACUCGUAGUACCAGUCAGUCGUGACCAACUAGCUUACCUUGUUUGGACUGCAUUAGUUGAACAUUUUUUUGGCAUAGGCUUUGGCAUUUAAAAGUCAUUUUAAUUUAAGCAAGCCAAUAGACAAGUAAUAAGUAAAAGCAUAAAAUAUAUUUUACUUACACUAUUCAUCAUAUUCCUUGCUCGGGGUGAUGUUGUUUGUUAUUAUUAUUAUUUUUUUUGUAAUUUUCAUAAGGCAAAGCUAGGUUAAACAAUUUUAUGUAUUGGAUGGAUGAUAAAACUGUUGAUUUAUAGUUUACAAUUCAAGACUUAUUGACUCUUUAGUUAAUUCUUGUGUUUGUGAUUGAAUAUGCAUUAAUUAUAUGUUGUUUGAAUGUUCGACCAUCAUUUUGACAACUAGUUGUUUAUUUGUAGUUUUGAGAGACUCACAAUAAGUAAAACACACGGACAAUAGAUAUUAAGAACAAUGUUUAUGACGUGGCAAUUGUAUGUGAUAUUCUUGUGAUUGAAUACAUGCUUUGUAUAUGAAUUUGAAUUAAUAACAGGAUCGGGUCGUGUUAAGUAUAGAUUUAAUAUAUUUGGAAGAUAAUAUUAUAUAUUAACAGAUUAUUGACUGCUAUGAACACAUUAAUAAUGCUAACUCACAAAAGCCAAGAAUUGAAACUAAACAUUAUUAGGUGGAUUCUGAUAUCCAAUACAUUCAUCUCAUAUUUGAUUAAUCACCAAUCUCUUAGAACUUUCAUAGUUUAGUUAGAAUUAAAUCAAAAAUAUCAACUCUUUUGUGUUACCAAAUUUGGUAGAAACUGGUAAACUAUAAUUACAUUUAUUUCUCGUGGGAUGAUAACCCAACUCACUACAUUAUUAUUUGUUAAUGACCAAGAAUGCUUGCAUGUUUGGUAUGAAUCGUGGACAACGAGAAAAAUCAAUUACCAAAAUAAUCUAUUUUGUUAACAUGCUUCAAUUUUGCAACUUUAGAAAGAGCGAAGUUUUCAUUAGAAACUUUCUAGAGUACAUCAUUCUAGUGCUGCUAUUUGGAUGAUGAGUCAAACAAUUCUCUUCAAUUCCGGUCUGAUUUUCAUAAAACUGCAAAAAAAGUCAAAAAAAAGACAAAAAGAAAACCCCCAUACGUGGGUCAUGCAUACGUCAUGCAUGUAUUGUGUGUUCAUUCUUCAAGAGGAAAAAAAUUAUUAAGAGUGUGUGUGUGUGUGUGUGUGUGUGAAAAUCAAAGUUGUUGAAAGAAACAACUCUUGUUUCCCUCCCAUUGUUUGAUCCCUGUAUCCAAUUUUGCAUUAUUAAAAAUUAUCAAAAUUACUCUUGAUACUUUGUCACAUUUCUUUACGACAAGUACUGCUUACAAAGAUAUACUAGCUAUCAAGGAAAGGGAGAUUAAAAAAUCAUGAUUAGAUUUUGUAAUUUGCUUUAGUUUUUGCAAUUCAAGUAGCUUUUGCAAUGUUACGUAUACUUCAGUUUGUUUCUUCCUAUAUUACGUGGUUCAUACAACUGCCUUCUUUACUUUUUUGGCGUGGUGUACUAUAGUCGAGUUACGAAUUCUAGGGUGAUUUUUCCAAGGCUUCAGGUAGAUAUAUUAAUAAAAAUGGAAGCUAACUUAUCACUUUCUGGCGAUAUGAUGCAAGUCAAUCCCCAACAAGCUCCGUAAUUAUACAUGGCAAUUCUAGAUGCUUUGUCUUUUGAGGUUUGCAGCAUGCAAAAUUUUAAUUAGCCUAUGCUGUUAUUUGAAGGAAACAUAGACGAGAUUUUUUGGAAACUGCCAAUGGACGAAUAUUCUAGGCACUCUUAGUGAGCAGAAUCAAGUAGAUGCAGAGAAAAGGGAACCCGUGUGGCAGGGAUAAAAUAAACAGAUGAAAUGUUUAUGCAUUUGAUAAUAGAGAAAAGAAAAUUGUUUAUUAGCAUUAGAUGAAACGUACAGAUAUUUUCAUUUGAAUUUAAAUAGCAGUCAAGUGGUUGUUGGGAUUGUUGCGAGUCAGGCUCAAGUUGCACAAGACCAUGGCUGUGUUAUUUGAGAUUGAAACAGUGACGCCCAAGCUCUAGGGACUCGUGACAUUACUAAGAUAUUAAAUUUGCAAAAUUCUACCUAGAUUGUUCAUAAAAGUAUAAAAAUUAACUUGGAUUAGAAGCAUUACAGCUUCAGUGAAUCCGUUGCAAAACUAAAUAAGUUUUCUUUCGAAAAAUUUGGAUUUUCAGAUUGCGCAGCUUUUUGAAAACAAAAAAUCCAUUUGACAACCAAAUGAUAUCCAAAAUUUACAAAAUUUAAACUGUACGCAUCUUCCACAUAGACAGUUAAAAUUUCAUAAGCAAAUUCAAUCAAUAGAGAGGUCAAAAUUGUUUUCAAAAUCGAAUCUAUUUGUUCUUGGGUACAUUCUGGCAGCUGUCAGGAGAAUGUCCAUAACUUGAGUUUUACACAAUUAAAAUUCAUGGUUCCAACUGUCCAAGAGAUAGAUAAUCCAUAUGGAUACCUUUUCCUACUAGAAUCGCCACAAAAUUCAAAGUAUUAAGGUCGAGGUGGAUUUUUAAAUAUAUGUGCAGAAACAUAAAAUAUUUCAAACACUAUUAUUACCACUUAAUUGAACAAAAUAAACCACAAUAAAAUAUCCUAUUCACCUUGAACAAAUUUCCAUUACAUAGUUCAGUGUUUAAACGUUUAAUCAUUUGAAAACACUAAAUUAAAAUAUUUUAGAAGUUGAAAUAAUUAUUUGAACAUAACUUUACUUAAAUGAUGAUUUUUGGAGUUCACAUCGAAGCACCUCCGCUCCCCUCCAUGCCGCCAUCGAUCACAUUUAUCUGAAAUUGUUGGGGGUUGAGUGUCUUACGAAAACACUCAAUAGACUUAUAUGCACGUUAAAUCCAAUUUUUAAUAGUUUAAGCAUAUGUCUAUGUCAUUUAAACUUUUGAUGAAUAAGGACAUCGAUAAUCAUGCAACAUACCAACAUUUGGUGCACUACUACGCCAGCAACUUCAAAUUUCUAGGGCAUGAUAAGUGCAUUUUACACACUUAUUCAAGCUUAAAAAAAUAACAUUCUAUACUUUUUUGAUAAAAUAUAGCUUAAUUUGUGUUAUAUUGUGUCUAAUAAAUAAAACUCAUGAUUUGAUGAAGAAUUGGAGAAAAUAAGCGAAAAUUAGUGAAAUCAAAACUAUCAGGACUAAAAUGUAAUAAUUCAAAAGUUUGAUUGGAUUGUGAGAUGGUGAUUCAAGAAUGGCAAGAGUCAAUUGGAGUUGCAAAGAAGUCAACAGGAUGAGAAAUUAUUGAAAAGGAUCAAAAAUGUAUUGCGAAAAGUUUCGGGAGCAAUUUGCAAAACUGGGCAAAUUGGUUCCAAAAAUGUGUACCAUGCUUAAGCAUAAGGCUGCAAGCUUUGCAUGAGCAAGGUCUCAUAAAUUCUUACCUAACACUAAAUCACGUGUAUUGUGCUCAAGCACCAAAUGAACUGUGCUUAAGCAGGUUCAAUUUCGGGAAAAAAAUUGUUUCCUUAUCUUGUUUUAGAAACUUUUUAUAUACAAUUUUUUAACACUCUAUAAAUACCAAAAGCCAUCCUAAACAUGGAGAACAUCCCUUUGGCCAAAAAAUAACAUAUUUUACGUAUUCUGGAGGCAAAGAACAAGGAACAAUCAUCAACCUUUCUUCAUUAUUUCUCGAUUUGAGUGAUGUCUUUUCAUUAUUUAUUUUAUAGUUUAAUGGUUGGCUAGAUUUUUCAAAUGUAUUGGAUGUAUGUUUGAACCUUGCUUUCAUUUAUUUUAAUUCAAGACUUCAAUUUAGGAAUUUCGUGCUAUUACCUGAUUGAUUUACAAACCCAUUGCACUACUUAUUGCUUGAUCACCAAUUAAGUAGUUAGAUGCUCUUUGUAGCAUAGAAAUACUCAUAAUGAGUUUAAAACACAGUAAAAUCAACAUGAGUAUUUAGAAUUAGGAAUAAUCUAUCUUACACAUGCAAUCUUAUUGAUAAUCUAAACUAAAUGCAUGACUUUAAUAUGAAUUCGGACUAGCUAGGAAUAGGACCGUAUUGUGUUAGUUAUAGGUUAGUAUAUCUUAGAAAAGAGCAUUUAACAUAUUAGCUUUAUCGAUCGUCAAAAAUACAUGAAUUGAAUAGAAUAAUUAUUGAGAAUUGAAAUUGAUUGUAAUAAGGAAUACGUGAAUCCAAUACAAGCAUUUACAUUAGAUUUAAUUACUUUUUAAUCACUCUCUUAGAAGAGAAUUAGAAUAAAUAACAAACUAAUCACAACACUUUUGAUGUCAUCACUUUGAAUUAAUAGUAGCUACUGAACUACAUAUUAGACCUUAUUUCUCGUGGAAACGAUACUCUUAACUUAUAAAUUUUAUUACUUGUACAACGAUCGUGCACGCUUGUGUGUUUUGUCCAAAACAAGUUUUUUGCGCAGUUACUGGAGAAGAAUGGAUUUAAUUUUAGUUUACUAGUUUAUAUUAGAUUACAUUUAUAUUUAUAUUUUUUGUUGAUUUUAGCUACCCACCCUGAUCUCUAUUGUUUGACAUUCUUUCUAGGUGCUAUUCAACAGUAUAUUUGGAUUCUGACGCUGGCAUGUUAAAAAGAUUUUUGCAAUAAAUAAUCUGAACAUGAACUAUAAAGAAGAUAUUUAUUGUGUAUUCUACUAUGGGGUGCAUUAUACUAGCUAGUGUUUGAAUACAUGUACCAAACUCUAUCAGUUCAAGCUGCUACGAUUUAAGUAAUAUUUAAGAUGUCAAAACUAGCAAUUGAUACAUCUAUUGAAGGCUACAUGCCUAUGGGCGAGUGUAUCCCUUCCGACAUGCUUGUGGGAUUUGAUCGUUUCAUGUCGAACGAGGAAGUACUUGCAAAAUACUACACUAAUCUUGCUAAGUUGGAUGAAAACAAAUUGUGUGUGAGAGAUGGCCUAUUAUGGUAGGAAUUUAAAAGGUGGGGGUAUAAUCCACUCAAAAAGUUUAAAAGAAAAGAGUUUCCAUGGCCCAUGGAUUUAAAUUGUGAAAUGAUCAUUUAACCUGAGGAUAUAUCAAUUAUGGAAGAUUAAAACAAAGACGAUGAAAGUUCAAUUACAUAUGACUAAAACAAAGAUAAGGCAAUUAAUGAAGAUGGCGUUAACCCACAUUCCAUGGACUUCAUUGAUUGCCCUAUCAUUGAAUUUGUAAUUAAGCGCAAAGAGGACGAAGAAGUUUAUGUAGUUGAAUUUGAAUCAGAUGAGAUUUGCAAGUCAUAUCAUAUUUGAGGGGGCAGUGUUAAAAUUUGUAGAAGCAACAAAGAGUGGAGCAAAGUCAAAAGAGGCAAAUUGAGCAAGGCAUCAACAGUGUUCUUUAGAAUUCCAUGAUUUCGAAACAAUGAAGACAAGCUAAGGACAUUAAACAAAGCGUUUAUUAGGAGGCAACCCAUUUUUCUUCCCCUUAUUUAUUAUGCUUUCUAGUCAUAUGAUAAUUUAGUUUAUUCAUUAGUUUUAAUUAGGGACUCAUCAUCCAUUUGUCAUUUUCCUUUAGGUCCUCGAGAUUUAAUUAGCUUAUUAGAUGUUUGAGUUAAGUAACAUUUGUUCCAGAUAUUCAACCUUAAAUGUUUUAUCUAAUCAUAUUGUGCAGGGAUAUGACAUCAUAGAACACUAAACCAACAAUGACCAAGAAGACAAUGGAGAGCAAUUGGAAAGCUAGCUAUUGGAUAUGUGGAUUUAGAAUUUAAGACAUUGAGGAUAAUGUCUAGUUUAAGUUUGGUGGUGAAAACACGAGUUUUCUUUUGUUUUUGUUCAUGUUUUAUUGCUUUAGAUAUUAAACCAAAAAUAAAUAAAUAAAUAAAUAAAAUUUGAAAUGUUUAAAAAACUCCAAAAAUAUUUUAUUUGUGCGAGUUAGUUGAUCUGUCAAGUAAUGAUGAAUAUAUUAAAUUAUAAAUUGAUCUACGAAUGAUGAACAGGUUGCAUGCUUAGGUUAAUUUUUACUCUUCCAUGUGAAAGCUGAUAUAUAUUGAACAAAUGAAUUAAGUUAAACAUUAUGUAGGAAUGAAUUGAAUUCAUAAUUGGAUAGGUUAAAAUAGUGGACAUAGAUGCAAAACCCAAAGUCACUAAAUUCUACAUCCUUAGACCAAAUUUGGAAUAGUUUGGGAAGAUUUCAUUGUUGUAGAAAGAUGUUAAGAUAAAUGGGAAUUCCAUGUGUGAAAUUAAAAAUCUUGUGGGGAUUCUCUAAGGUCAAUAGGAUGAAAUUGGAUGAAAGUCUUAAGUUAAAUGUCAAUUUACUUGAAUAGAUGUUUAAUAAGUAGGAUGGAAGUGGAUGAAAGUCUUAAGUUAAAUGUCAAUUUACUUGAAUAGAUGUUUAAUAAGGGAUAUUGCACUAAUCAAGGUAUAAAAAAUAUUUUAUUUGAAAAUUUUUCUUCGUGACCUUGAUGGUUCAAGCCAUUAAGCAUGUAAUAUUUUAUUUGAAAAUUUUUUCUUCGUGACCUUGGUGGUUAAUCAGAAGAGGAAGCAUGCCCUCAUAUGCUGCUGGAAGUGAAGGCUCUUAUUUUCCCUCUCAUAGUUCGAUCCCAUUGUGAUCUCAUUUUGCAUUACUAAAAAUUAGGGCUGGAUAAUACUCCCGAACCGAAUCAAAUGGUUCAAUUCGAUUCUUGUUCGAUUAAAUACCUGAAUUGGAACUAAAAUUUAGAACCGAUCGGUUUAGUUUAGUUCUUGGUUCUAGAUCAAAAAUCGAAUCUCCCUAAUUUUUAAAAUUUUUUUAUAUUGAACAAGCAAAAUUAUUUUAAUUUUUUUCUUAAGCCCUUGUUUGAGCCCCAUUUUUUCAAUAAUGCAUUUUUUCAAAACUUAUUUUCAACCACACAUUCUUCUAUAAAAUAAUUAUACACGUAUUUUAUUUUUUAAAAGAAUUCCCUACUUUUUAAUCACACAUCCUCCAAAAAACCACUAUUCCAUAAUGCCUUUUAUCCCAUAUUUUUGAAUCAAACAUGGGGUAAAUAAAUUUGUCAAUUAAUUAAUUAAGUAAUUAACUGUAAGUGCGCAAGGCUCCAACUCUCUAGGGCCAACCCAACUCAAGUCCAAAAUAUUUUUGCUACAAAUUUCAAUCCGAGUACAACUUUACUUCACAAUUCGCCUGACACUCACUUAUUCUGUCAUUUAGGUUUAUCCAUGACCCUCAUUUUCGGCCGCUUCCCAAUCACAAGCCACGACUUCAUCUUUCCUCCUCAAGAUUCUUACGGGCCACACCAUCAUAUCAUAUAUUUUUCCAUAUUAAAUCUUAUUAGUUGGACAAUUUUUUGAUUAGUUGUGUUUGUUAGUUAUGUUUUUUCAAUUAUCUCUCAUGGAGUUUUUUAGUAUGACAAGUCAAACAACGAAUAAAUAAUUUAAAUGGUAGAAAAGUACUAGCAAUACUAAAAAAUAUUUUAUUUCUAUAACUUUUAUUUUAUAUUUCACUGUUUCAUAUAUAUUUGUAGGCUUGAAGAAAAGGAAUCAAUGGAAUAUAAUUAUCGAUAUUUGAGCAUUGUGAUUUACUUUUUGGUAAUUUGUAUGCAUUGAUUAAUGGGUCUUAUUAGACAACUUAUUUGUAUAUUUUGAAUCUGAACUAUGUUAUUUUUUAGGAGUUAAAAUUGAACAUAUCAUUGGUUGGAUUAAUGUAGUGUUGAUUUAAAUAUUAAAAAAUUUAAUUAUAGUACGAAUCCGAAUGGGACCAAACUGAUCAGUUCCAUAAUUAAAUUUUGAUUUGACUAUUAUACUUAAUAAAUAACUAAAAAUUCUGGUCUGGCCUACUAAAAAUGAUCGGAAGUAUCGUAAUACUUAGUCACAUUUCCUUCCCUUCCCAUAUGGGAAAAUUACAUUGAAUGUUCCGGGGAUUUAAAAAUAAAAUAAAAUAAAAUCAUUUCUAAUUGAAAUCUGAAUUUAUAUUUCUUUAGUAAUCUCUGUUUCCAACAAUUCUCGUAUUGUCAUACAUGAUUACAUGAUACAGUAUUCCUAUUUUCCUAUGAUGUGCUUUACCGUCUGUGUUUUACCUUGUGCAAUUUACAAUGACAUGCACUACUUACAAUAUAUUGGACAAGCAAGGAAAGGAUGAUUAAAAAAUCAUUGUUAGAUUUGGCUCUUUGUUUUAGCUUAUGCCGUUCAAGUGGCUUCUUUUUCAAAGUUAUGGAUACAUCCAUUUAUAUCUUCGUGUAUUACGUGGUCCGUACAACUGCCUCUUAUGUUUUGACAUGGAGUAAUAUGGUAAUUAAUGAUUUCUAGGGAGAAUUUUCCGAGGCUUCAGGUAGAUAUAUUAAUAAAAUGGAAUCUGACUUAUCACUUUCCUGUAUGAUGCAAGUCAAUCCCCCAACAAGCUCCCUAUAUGAUGUCAGGAUAUUCCUUCAACAGUUCAACCUGUGAGACAUAAAUUUGAUGAUGCCAAAAUUUGAUUUCUUUCCGAUGCCGGGCAAGAUAACGAUUAUCUUGAGGGUUUGUUGUAAUAGACGAUUCACAGAAAAGUAAACAAAAGAAUAACACCCAAAACACAAAGAAACUUCUCUUAAAUUCACUCAAUAUUAUUAAAACUCCAGAAUGCAAAAAUAAACCCACAAGUCGGGUUAAAUAGCUUAGAAAGUACGAAAUUAUUGAAAUUUUAUCAAAAAUAUCAAAAUCCUGAAAAUCACAUCAAAAUAAAAUACAGAAUAAAAGAAGUAACUUUGUGCGCGCCAAAAAAAGCUUUCCAAAUUGAUAUCAUAAUUGCAAUUUUGAUAACCAUUGCGAAAGUUAUGGCCAAAUUACAAAAAAAGUGUCAAAAUUACCCCAAUUAAGAAAAGCAUUGCAAUCACUUUCCAUCUUUGCGCCGAUCCAACAUCUCAUGGUAUCUCAGCACCAUCAACGUGCUUUCUAACAUCUCAACCUCACUUGAUUUGGAACCUCUUGCAUCAGUUUCCAUCCAAAUGCUAUUUGUUGCUACUUUUUACGGCAUGCACCUAUACGCCGCAUAAUACUUAUUACGAUGUGCAAUGCAUGCCGUAAAAAGUAAACUUUGUUGUAGUGUUUCCAAUUUACAUGAUACAAUGUCCCCUGUUUCUUUGUUGUACUUCACAAUAUAUACUUUUUCUUUUUGGUAAAAUGUCUAUCAAAAUGCUUUGCUAUACAGAUUUAUUAUGUAGGUCAGAGUGCUUGAAACCAUAAAAGAAAGCAUAGAUCUAAUGAAAAGCAUCUUCGUGUUGGAGGGUGUAACAUAUCAAUACCAAAAUCGGUGUAGCCUAUACAUAUUCUGAAGACUUAUAUAAACCCUCACAUGACAAGAUACUUAUUAGUUAACAUUAAACACAUAUGAACCAUUUAGGCUAUGAUCAUUGAGUGUCAUUAACGCCUCAAUUUUAUUGUAUUUUAAAUUAUAAUAGUAAAACUAUGAACCAUUUAGGCUAUGAUCAUUGAAUUUUCUUCUAUGUAGUUUUGAAUGCAAACAGUUUCUCUAGCACCUCUUGUAUGCUAUUAUUGAAAGACAACUGAUUCGUGAUUAUAUAUUGUGAGUAAAGCUUGCCAUUUAACUUGCAGUUCUUAAAUUUGUGUCCUCUAGUGUGGCUAGGCACAAGGUAAAUAGUGUAGGCUUUAUUGAUAUUUAUGGUUUUGUCAUUAGUUCUCCUAUAUGAAUUUUUAUUCUUAGACUGUAUUACAUAUUUAAAAAGAAUUGAAGACUGUCAAGAAUUGAGUGCAUAAUCGGAUGGAAGAUCAAUGGUUUGGUAAAUGAUGUAUUUGAAAAUAUUCAUAAUAGUGCUAUUAUACAAAGUUUUUAAAGUAUGAAAACCCGCAAACCACAGUUGUAGUAGUGCAGUAACUAUUUUCACUAAUGUUAUGUAAAUUUUUAAAAAAUUUGCAUUUAAAUUUUUUAUCCCACACAGAAAUUGAAUGUCUACGCCACUACGUGUAUGUGUUGUGCAUUCCUAUUUCAAGAUAAAAAAGUUAUUGAGAGAGUAUAUGCAUUAAAAAAAAAUCAAUGCUUUGAAAAAAACUAUAUAUAUAUUCAAAUGACACACAAUUUUUGGAGAGUUGCAUGACUAAUUGAAAAGUGUUUUGUCUUUUGUAUCUUCAAAUGUACAACUAUAAUGAACACACAUUUAUUGUUUACCAAAUGCAUGAGAUCCAUGUUUGUUUAAAUUAACUUUUGUUUAGUUGGGUAUUCAAAAAUAUCAAACUAAACAUGUUUUGAUGAUCUACAUUAUUAUUUUUUUAAAAAAAAUUUGCCUGGUUUUAAUCAUUGACGAUGCAAUAAUAAUGAACAUUGGUAGAUUUAGGGUGGAGAAUGGUAGGUCACUUGCCCCACCAUUUUUUUUGUUUUUUUUUUUUUUUUUUUUUUUUUUUUUUUUUUCCCCCCCCCCCCCCCCCCGGGGUUUAAUGAAAAAUGUAAUACAUUGUUAGUAGGGGAAAAUUGGGAUUGUGUAUUAAUAUUAUGGUUAUAUUAUUUGUAGGAUUUUGAAAUGGACAAAUUAUCUAAUUAUUCGAAUAAUUCUAAUGUUUUAAAUCGGUGAAUAGUGGUUAAUAUAUUUCAUUUUAUUUUAUGUUAAAUUUAAAAUCAUUCAAAAAAAUUAAUAGUUUUUUCCCCAAUUAUUAUUGUACUAUAUUUUGGGUAAUCAAACAAUGUUAUUUCAAUCUUGAUUUAUACUGAAAGUUCAAAUUAUAUUUGAUUGAUUUGUACAUCUUCUAAUAAAGUGCUUAGAUGGCUUACGUUAAAGAUUUAGCAUCCGUAUGGCAAAUUUAUAAAUAGUUUAUGAAGAGGAGAGUGCUAAAACAAUGUCACGAGUUGCCUUAGGCGUAAUAACAAGCACUUAAGCUCCUACAAGUAUACGGUUAAAAACCUUGCCUUUUCAAGUAUAUAAUUUCUAUGCCUUGUUAUUAAAUGCCUCAUUUGUUACAUUCUAUAACUCAUCAUCCGUUCAUCUACUGGAAUUCUAGCUAGCGUCCAUUGUUUUUUUUUGGUCUUUAAUGUCUCAAUCAAUCGAAUGUGAGAACAAGUCAUAUAAACAUAGAGUGGAAAAGAAAUUUAAUCCUUCUCGGAUUGUGGGUGCACGAAUCUUUGAAGAAUUCGUCUCGAUCAUGCACCUCAAAAAUGAAGCCAAGUUUGGUAAGACCAUUAUGCUUGAUUAUAUGUUUGUCCUCAAAGACAUAAUUUAUGUCUUAAUACUAUGUCUUAAGAUUUUGUAGUGUUUUCCCAAUACACGGCAAAGGCCACAUAAUAAAUUUAGACGUUGCUUUUCCUCAUAAAUACCACCUACUUACUCACAGCAGUUUAGUAAAAAUCUGAUCUGGAAUGGACAAUGUCGAUAAUUGCUAUAUUAUAUUUACAUUUAUAUCUUAAAAUUAUUCCCUGUGAGGAUCAUGACUAAAAAGAAACUAUGUUAUUUUUCUUUAUAAACUUGUUUGAUUUGGGAAUUUGGUUGUACCCCCAAUUCAAAAUGUGUGUUCACCACUAAUAAUGAACACCCAUCUGUUGUACACCAAAGUAUGUAGCCCACGUAAAUUUUGUUUGGACAGGUAAUCAAAUUUCAAAUGACAUGCGUUUUUAUGAGUGUUACAGGACUAUUUAAAAAGAUUGGUUAGUUUCCAUAAUUAAUUGUACACAUAAAAAGAACACACACUUUUAUCCACCAAAUGUGCAGGAUCCACAUUUUUAUAUGUUGGCUUUUGUUCAUAUGGUGUUCAAAAAUUCUGAAUUUAGCCCUUGUUUGAGUCUCAUUCUUUUGAUAAGAAUGAAUUUUGAAUAGUGUAUUGAUGGAAAAUGUGUAGUUAAAAAAUAAGGAAAUAUUUUAGAUUUACGUGUAAUAUUAUUUUAUUGAAGAAUGGGUGAUUAAAAUGAUGCUAGUAUACUGUUAAAAAUGUAUUUUUUUCAAAGAAUGGGAAUCAAAUAGGGGCUUAAACAUUUUUACAAUUGUUAUGUGACUAUUUAAAAGGGUUUGGCUGAGUUUUCCUCAUAGAUAGUGCAACGAUAAAGGCCAAUUGAUCUAGCCUUCUACCCACUACAACUCCAACAUCACUUGAUUAAAAUGACAACUAUGCCCUUCAUAUUAAUACUCGCCAUAUCCCACAAAGCUCAUUGUAUCCGUCAUCUUUAUAUCUACAAAUUUCUACCAUAAAUUCAAAUUGUUUUUCCAAGGCUCACGUACUCUCAAUCUUAUUAGCUAAACUAAAAUAUUUCAAUUAGUAAAAUGGCGAAAAUACAGAUGAAGUCCUAGAAAAUCUGUGGACAGUUGUAUAUACAUGAUUGUCGGCAUCAAAUGUGAUGAUGGUGCCUACGUCACCGCCCAAUCAUGAUCUUUUGAGUGCCCUAUUACAUUAUUUUACCAGUCUCGAAUCUCAUCACAAUCGGGCUUUCAAGUCUAUGAACAUGGAGGAAAUUCUCGAUAAUGUUUACUAUGAUUCGGAGUGUUUUGCUUUGGAUAUAAUGGGAUUGCUGGUCUUCGUGUUGGUGCUGGAGGAGAAUUGAAGAUGAGAAGUAAUUGGGAGGAUUAGAAAAAAAAUCAAAAACAAAAUCAAUCUACCUAAAUAUGGAGAUAACAUGCUUCAAUUUUGCAGCUUUAGCAAGAGGGAAAUAUUUAUUAGAAACUUUCUAGACUAGAUCAUUCCAGAGGUACAGUUUUGAGGAUGAGUCUCACCUUUCUCUUUGAUUCUGGUCUUAUUUUCUUUAAAUUUAAGUUAGAAAAGAGACAAGGUGAGAAGACCAUCCCUGGGUCACUACAUCAUGCAUGUGUUGUGCAUUUGUUGCCCAAGAGGAAAAAAGUUAUUGAGAGUGCGUGCAUGUGUGUGUGUAUCAACUGGUUUAGUUCAUUUCUCAGCUCUAGACGGAGAAUCGUAUACGAACCAAAUCUCUCCGAUCUUAUAAUUUUUUACUUAAAUUUUCCAAUUAACUAAUUAAGUGAUCAAAGGUAAGAGCGCAAGGCUACAACUCUCAAGGGCUAACCCAACUUGAGCCCAAAAUUUUUUUCUACAAAUUUCAAUCCAAGCUCAUCUUUGCUUUACUUCACAAUUCACCUAACAAUCACUCAUUCUGUCAUCUAGAUUUAACAGUUGCUGUAGUUUUCAACCACUUCCUAAUCCCAAGCCACGACUUCAUCUUUCUUCGCUCCUCAAGAUUCACACAGGAACACCUCAUCAAAUCCUAUAUUUUCCCAUAUUAAAUCUUGUUAAUUGCACAAUUUUUGUUUAUUUACAUUUGUUAAUAGUGCUUUUUCAACUAUUUCUUAUUGAGCUUCUUAAUUUGAGAAGUAAAGCAAUGGAUGAUUAAUUUAAAUGGGUGAUAAGUACUUGCAAUACUUAAAAAUAUUUUAUUUCUAUAACUUGUAAUUUAUAUUUCAUUUUUUUUACAUAUAUUUGAAGGCCCGAAGGAAAGGAAUUUAGCGUUAUUAUUUACUUUUUGGUAAUUUGUAUGCUUUGAUGAAUGGAUUUUAUUAGACAACUUUUUAUUUAUAUAUUUUAAAAUUGGACUAUGUCAUUUCGUAAGAGUUUAGAUUGAACAUAUCUUUGGUUAGAUUAAUGUAAUGUUAUAAUAAAUAUUAAAAAAAUUAAUUAUAGUACAAAACCGAACAGGACCGAAUUGGUUCGGUUCCAUAAUUAUAUUUUUCAACGGUUCAACUUUUGAAAUACAUAAAAUUAUGGUCCAGGCCUAUUAAAAAUGAUCCGAAGUAAUCUUGAUACUUUGUCACGUUUCUUUCCUUUCCCAUAUGAGUUAAUUACAUUCAAUGUUCCGGUGAUCGAAAAAAUAGAUUUCCUUUCGAAUUGAAAUCUGAAUUUCUAUUUGUUUGGUAAUCUUUGUUUCCAACAAAUCUCAUAUCAUCAUUAUAAAUGACUACAUGAUACAGUAUUCCUGUGUUCUUGUUAUGCGCUUUAACGUCUAUGUUUUACCUUGUGUAAUGCACAAUGACAUGCACUACCUACACAUAUGUUGGACCAUCAAGGAAAGGAUGAUUAAAAAAUCAUUGGUAGAUUUGGUUCUUUUCUUUUUUUUUUUUUUUUUUUUUUUUUUUUUUUUUUUUUUUUUUUUUUUGCGAAGUUAUGGAAACAUCUGUUUAUUUCUUCUCGUAUUGUUGGUUUCUACAACAGUGUUUUAUUUUUUUCACUUGGAGUAAUAUGGUUAAUUCAUGAUUUCUAGGAAAAAUUUUCCUAGGCUUCAGGUAGAUAUGUUAAUAAAUAUGGAAGCAAACUUAUCACUUUCCGGUGAUAUAAUCAAGUCAAUUACAAUGUCAGGAUAAUCCUUCUAUAGGUUAAUCUGUGAGACAUGUAAAUCUAAUGAUGCAAGAAUUUGGUUGGUUUUUGUCCAAAUGCUAUUUGUUGCUACUCCGUAAAUAGUACUCUUUUUGGGAUAUGUAUUGCUUUUCUGAUAUUUAUUUCUUUGUUUUUAUUGCAAAAAAAGAUUAAGUAAAGAUGAAGAGGAGAAAUUCUACGCAUAAGUGUGGUUGUGCAAUGGAAUUAUACUUAAAGUUAGACGAUCAACGGAAGGCUGACUAAAAAAUCACUGUUAUAUUAGAUUCUUUGCUUUAGUUUAUGCCAUUCAAUUAACUUCUUUUCCAAAUUUGAAGAUACAUCUGUUUGUUUGCUCCUUUCGUUGUUUCACCAUUGGCCUUUAGUUAAAGAAACACACUUGGUUUCUCUCCUAUUGCCGAUCCCUGUGGUCCAAUUUAACAAUGUGGUCAUAUAAAGUACUCUUCAUAUUUAGUCACAUUUCUUCCUUUAGCAUAUGAGAAAAUUACGUUCAAUGUUUUGGCGAUAAAAAUGGAUUUGCUUUUGAUUUGAUGUUUGGAUUCCAUGGGUGUAUUAUUUCAUCAGUAAUGUGUUUCAAUUAAAUCUGUCAUAUCAUCAUUAUACAUGAUUUACAUGAUACAAUAUCCUCUAGUUUCUGUUGUGCUUCACAACCUAUGCUUUACUUCCCAAUGCAUAAGACCCAUGAUCUUAUAAAUUGACUUCUGUUCACCCACUAUUCAAAAAUGCAAAAUAAAACACAGUUUCAUGAGUGUACAUUAUUAUUUAAAAAGACCUUGGUUUGUUUUCAUAACUGCACUGGUAAUUAUAAUGAACGCACAAUGCAUGGGACUGGCUUAACUUUUGUAGAGAUAGUUGUUCAAAAAUUCUAAUGAGAUUCAUUUUUAUGAGCGUGACAUGUCUAAUUAUUAAACAAUUGGUUAGUUUUCGUUGAUGAUAGUGCAAUGAUAUGAGCAUGCAUUUAUUGUCCC